CAAAUUGAUAUAUAAUAUUAUUUACAUACAUAUAAUUAAAACUUCAAUAGUGUAAAUAUGUAAUAUUUUGGUAGAUAUGUAUAUUUUAUAAUAUCGAUAAAUUAUGUAUGUAUGUAUGUAUGUAUGUAUGUAUGUAUGUAUGUAUGACAGUGUGUAAAUAUUUGAUGUAACUUUUAUUUAAUAUAUAGAUAUUAAGUGGGUUAUUGGGUAACCCAAUUAUUUUUCUGUGUCGAGUUUGGGUCACAAUAUUUUGACACAAUUAUGAAAUGGGUCGGGUUUGGGUCAAGCUAAAUUUAACACGACCGGAAGCUGACAUGACACGAACACGACCCGAUGACCCAUUUUGCCAGCUCUAGGUCGGAAGGCUAAAUUCAUAAAUAAAGUUUCCCUUGUUUCCGAAAAUUUCAAAGUUCAGCUCUAGUUACAUAUGGAAAAUGAAUCCGGAGCGCAGUUCCAUCAACAUCAACUAUUGAUUUUUAAAGAAAAAAAAAGUUGAAAAGCCAUGUGAAAAAAUGAAAAUUUCAAUGAAAGUGGAUAAAAUGCGUUGCGACUAUGGGUUACAUAGCAAGAUACAUCAGUGCUGACGAUUUUUUGCUUUUACUAAAUUGAUGGAAAUAUCAUAAAGUUUCAAAGAAAACAAAUAUGUUUUCUCAUUUUAUCAAGAUUAUUCAGAUGGGAAGAAGUUUCCUAGCCGCAAUUUUCCUACUUUCGAAAUGGAUGUUUGAGAUGAGUUCAACCCCCUUUCUUUUUCUUUUUUUUUUGUUACAAUUUUUAUGCAUAUUACUGUUUUACUUGUUUCAAUUACUCAGAUUAAGCAAACAAUCAAGCCACAUUACUAGGUUAUCAAGAAAGCGUAGUCACCAGUUAGGUCCUUCUUCAUGCCAAAUUCUGCACCGAAAGGACAAAGCUUAGGUCUCAAGUCAAAGACGUGACUUAUUUUAGUCAUUUGCUUUUUGUUAAACAGAAUUUAGGGGAAGUUAAUUAAUCGAUAACAUGUUCACCACAUGGGGAUUUCUUCUACAACUGCUCAACUGAAAAAGGUUUACGACUGUUGACCAAAUGAUUUUUUUAUGCAUUACUAGUCAUUUAAGGAAUUUAGUUUCGCAUAGUACCAUUAAUUGUUAAGAGUUAUUAGCUAACCCACCGGUAACUUCUAUUGAUGGUAUCACCACAAAGUUUGUUUUAUAAUUAGUUAAAUAGGUAUACGAUGAGCUCGAAAGCAAUUUGUUUUUUUAUUUUUCAGAAAAGAUUGUUUUACUAAAAAAAAUGUAAUAUAGAACAAAAGAAGAUUAGACAAUCGGGGGUGUAAUGAACCCUAAUUAAAGAUAGUUACCAUAGAAUUAACUAAUUAAUGAAGUGAUAAAGGAGAUAAAACUGAUCGACUAACAGUCAAAAUUAUGUUGAUAUAUGCUACCAUCCUUAUAAAAGAAAUGGUAUUUAGUACCAUAUCAUACCAUUUCUUAUAUAAUUUGUUUUUAAAAAUAAAAGUCUAUAAUGAAUUAGAAAUCUCACCCAUGAAACUCCAAUUAUCACCCAGUAUUAUUACUCGUACUCGACUAACCACAGUUGCAAACAUUCAAAGUCAGUGGUGUUGUGCCAAGGGAGCCAAACAAUUCCCCCCACCCCCCACCUUUUUGUACAUUAUAAUCAUAGAUCUCACCUUAAUGGUACAUGUGGAAUAUAAAAUUUAGUUUAGAUGAAUUACGAAUCUCAGCCACACAUGUAAAUUGAUAAAUUACUGUGAAUGUUAGUAUAAUUAUUUUAAUAUUAUUAUAAUGUAAAAUAUAUUCUAUUAUUAUUAAAAGAAUAUGACAGAUUAAUAAUGUUAGAAUAAUUUUUCUAACAUUCAAAAUAUUUUAAAAAUUUUAUCUUAUUUUAUAAAUUAUAUGAUUUUAGGUUUAAUUUAUAUUUAUCAUACAUGUUUAUUUAAAGUCAAUUAUUGAGUUGUUGUAAUUAAGUAUAUAAUAGUUCAAAAAGAGUCUAUGUAACAAUUUAUGAUAUUAAGGGGAUAUGUUUGAUCAUUUAACAAUUUUUAAUUUUUUUUAAAGCAACCUUGCUAAAGUGAGAAAUCCAUUAAAUAAAGAAGAAACAGAAAUAUAUUUUAGAGGAUAUAGUGAGCCUUACCUGUUAAAAAGUACCACAUCGUUCUAGAAUAAGAAAAUAUACAUAAAAUAUAAUAGAAAAAAGUACAUUAAUGUAAAAUUACCAUCCUAAAUGAAACAAGCCAAUUAACAGAAUCUAUAAUUGGAGAAGCCAUCAGUCUAUAAAGAAAGAAACUUCCGAAUGACCAUAGGAGGAUCUCCCAAAUUCGCAAGACAAUCAGUAACACUGUAAUUCUUCCUAGAAGUGUGAUAACAUUGGAACAACAUGGGAGAAUAAAUUAAGUUUUGCAGUUGAUCAAGGGGCAGGCGAAGACAAUGAACAACAACCAAAUAGCUACAUUCUAACCAAAGCCAAAAACAAAUUAAUUAUAUAAUCGCUCCCCCCGAUAGGUAUGUAGAGGCUUAUAUACCUUGUGGUUUUAGCUCCACGCUUUAUCUUUAUUGAGUUCGAGCAUUUGGAUCAACCCCAUGCGUGUUAUGGGAGUAGAAUUUGUCAUUAUUGUGAGUAGAUCUUUUCUUCCAUGAAGAAAUUAAAAUUUUAGGUGGAUAGCCAUAAGCUUUCAGAUGGGCACUAACAAAGCAAGUCUUUGACGGACUUCUACUUGUGCGACUUCGAAUAGAUUUCUAUUUGGCCGUUCAACAUAAUCAACAAUUACAGUAAACCCCUGCCCUUAAUGUAAGGUUUUAAAAGGGCAGUGUAAUAAUUUAUAAUUACAUCAACAUCGGGGAAAAACAAGUAAUGAGGUAGGGUUUAUCUCAUUUGGGUGGCCUAAAUCCAAUUUUCAUUCAUUUAAGUAUUUAAAUAAUUAAAGAAAGAUUGAGGGGCUAAGUGAAGUUUUACAAUAAAAUUCGGUUUGUAGAACGUGGCUUUAGAAGAGUAAGUGGAAGCGGCUGAAAAAAAGAGAAAAAGUACAGAAAGAAGAGAGAAGAAAAGGAGCAAGUGGCUGACUAUUACAAUUUUGGGGUAAGAUUUUUAAUUUUUGAUUAGACGAUCAGAAGGCGAAAUUAACUCCGUUUUCUCCCAAAUUUUAAGGGUAAGUUCCUAGCAUCGCCCUCUAUAAUCUUACUGGUCUUGAUUUUUAUUUUAUUCUCUCAUUGGCUAUUAUUUGAGAUACUCACUUAUUAGAGAGACAUAUAUUAAGAUGUUACUGUAAGCCAACAAUAUUGAGAUUUUUUGAUGUUGUUAGUCUCUAGUAUUAUCUAGAGAAGAAUUUUUAUUGUAAUUCCAUUAAUAUAGUGGAAGACUAUCAGACUACGGUCCCGUGAUUUUUCCCACUUUGGGUUUCCACGUAAAAAUUUGUGUCUCUUGUGAUUGAUUUAUUGCUUUGGAUUUUGUUGGUUUAUUUUUCUGCCUAUUUAUUUGUGAUACACAUCCUAUUUUAAUCACAUAAAGAGGGAAAUAGUUUUAUUUUCACUUAAUUUACAAUUGUUUGUGUGAGUCCCUUUCCUAAUAAAGUGUCUCGGAGUUUCAGGUUUUGUAUUUUUAUUACUUGUGUGGUUUAGAUGGAGAAGUCCUUGGUGUGCAAGAUUAAAUUAAAGUCAUAGAAUUAUAGUAUUUGAAAGUCUUGGAUUGAAGAUUUGUUGUACAUGAAAGGCUUACACGAACCCAUUAAAGGCAAAGAAGCUAGACGCACCGAUUUAGAUUAUAAGAAAUGGGCUCAAUUAAACCAGAAAGGUCAUGAGUACUAUUAGAUCAUGGAUUGAUCAGAGUGUGUACCAUCAUGUCGUGAAGGAAUCCAGGGUUGAUGUUCUUUGGAGAAAAUUAGAGAUGAUUUAUGAGCAGCCGAUAGCAUAGAACAAAGCCAAAUUGAUGAAAAUGUUUGUUAAUUUGAAACACAAGAAACGGGGUAGUAUAACUGAACACACUAGCGAGUUUUAGGGCUUGGUUGAUCAGUUGAUUACUAUGAAAAUUAUGAAAAUUAUAUGAGCUAAUGAGUUACAAGGAUUGUUGUUACUUAGUUCUUUACCUGACAGUUGGAAGAUAUUAGUAAUGUUAGUGAAUAAAUCAAAGCUGAAUAGGAAAUUAACCUUGGAUAUAGUUACAGAUAGGCUGCGGAAUGAAGAAUCUAAAAUAAAUUUAAAAAAAGUGUUGAAUGUUGUGCAAAUUUUAUUGAACUCACAACUGCACGAAUCUAUUGUAGAAUAGAUCAACGGUAAUGAGUGUCGAUCCCACAAGGAGGUGGAUUUUAAUUGCGUGCAGAGUUAAUUUUUUAUGUGGGUGGUUGGAUUUGCAUUGAAAGUGAUUUAGACUGUCCUAAAAUUUAAAUUAGAAAGGCGAGAACAACUUACGAUGAAAACUAUUAAAAUGAAGUGCUUGUGUAACAUAUGUGAAUUAAAAAAUGAAUAAAUAAAAAGAAGCCAUUAAGAAGUUAGUAAAAGCAAAAUAAUAAGCUGGAAACAGGGGAACAUAUGCACGUGUGACAGAGUCAGAGAGAAGCUGUCAAUCCGACCCAAAAACCCAACCCGACCGGCGAACGUGACCCGGCCGUAUCUCCCAUUUUCAGCCACCGUCAUUCCCCUGCCAUUCUCGCCGCCGAAAAGCAGCCAGAACGCCGGCAAUCGAAGCUUGAAAACCUGCGAAUGUUUCGCUUUCUUCCGCCGGGAUUUUCGCCGGUUUUGGGUGACACCACCAGUUGGAUUUUGUUCCUCACGACUCCCUCUUCCAUUUCUGACCAUCCAUAGGCAUCGGGAGUCACUGUUUUUCCGUCGGCCAAUUGUUGGAAUUCACGGCUGUCGAGCUAGAUUCCGGUGUCGUUGCCACGCGUUGGAGCUCACCGCCGGUACCAUUGAACUUAGCGUGAUUGGAACUUUCAGACUUGAGCUUCUUAGCCAGUGUUGACUAAAUUCCGAUGAUCGUUGACAGGCAAGGGCAUUUCGGUAAUUUCACACUAUGAGGGCAAUUUUGUAAUUUAUGAGCUUGUGGAUAUUUUAGUAAUUCCUAGAAUUGAGGAUUGUGUGUAAUUAUGAUUCUGAGGGUAAUUCGGUGAUUUAUAAUUUCAGAAUAUUUUAAUGAUUUACGGACUCGAGGGCAUUUUAGUAAUUUUACCGACACGGGAGUUGUGAAUUAUGGAUAGAUGUUCGUUUCGAGUUUAUUGCAUAAAUUAAGUCCUAAUUCCGAUUUACAGAAAAUAAUUAUGUCGUUUCCUUGAUUUAGGAGGAUCCGCGAGCGAGAACCAAUCCGUGGACGUGGACGAUAACCGAGCGUGAACACCGUCACUGUGAGUGGAAUAUAUAAAACUUAUGUUCAUAGUUGAUUAUAAUAGUAAAGCAUGUUUGCGAAAUAAGUAUUUUAAAUGUUCUGAUUUAAUGAUUUCUUCAAAAUGGAUUUUAUUCACGCAUUGGUGUUUUAUUAAAAUGUUUGGUUAAUGAUUUUGCGUAUCGACUUUGAAUAAGCAUGAUAGUAUUUUAAAGAUAAGAAAAGUGGAUUCAAAUGUAGUAUGAUUUAAAGUAUGGUUAAAAGAUAUGCGAAUAUGAGUAUAGUGAUUGUUUUUGAAAUCAUUAGGCAGUACCCUUCCCACCAGAUAGAGUGAUAUAAAUGAGAUGAGAUGAGAGGUUUUUGGGGCCCGUCUGAAUACACAUAGAGGCUUUGGGUCGUGUGUUUGGGCGCUUUUGCCUUUUGGGGGCAUAUGCAUGCGGUAUGAUGAUUACAGAGACACAAAUAUGAGAUACAGACAAAUAUUGAGCUAUAGAUGAUACAUAUGAGAUACAGGCAUUUGCGGCCCGUCUAAGUACAAACAGAGGUUUUGGGUCGUGUGCUUGGGCGCUUUUGUCCUUUGGGGACUAGAUUAUGGAUGCACAUAUAUGAUGAGAUAUGAUGAGAUAUGAGAUGGUAUUUCCCUGUCUAUCCGUGUAGCUCCGGGGCGUGACGGUACCCAGAUAGUACGUCAUUGCCUGUCCGUUGAGGUCCGGAUAUGAUGAGAUUAUUUCCCUGGGUACUUGUUUGUGAUGAUUUUCAUAUUUGUGUAUUUUAUAUGAUAUUGUGAUAUGAUUUCCAUAGUUAUUUAGUACGAUAUUAUAUAUGCUUUUCAUGGUUAGUAAUCUGAUUUAAAUGUUAAAUGAUUUAUUACUGGUUUCUCGCAUAUGGUUUGAUGAAAUCGUGUUUGGAAAUGAUAUGAUUAUUUCUUUUAAAGUAAGAAUUAAUUUUCAAAAACUACUAUCCACUCACUGAGUUUUAAACUCACCCCAUUUUUAUUAUAUUCCCCCCCCCCCACCAGGAGGUUGCAGGUAUACCAGACCGACCUAGCGACUGUAAAUAUAUAUUGAGUCUUGGCCACAUGAUGGUGUUAGAAGAUAUAAAUGUUUUUAUUAUGACAUCUUGGUUAUCUCGUUCUUUUGGGAUUGUAUAAUUUUGUUAUAUUAUUCUUUUGGGAUUAAGAAUUAACUGAGAUAUUAAUAUUAGUUAUAAUAUUAUCUUUUGAUACUCUUGAGAUAUCUUGAGUGAAACUCAUCAUUUUGGUUGAGGAUGUUGAUCACUGGAGUUUGUUGUAUAUUGAAUUAUAUUGGGAGUGCUUGUUUUACAUAUUUUCAGAUUGGGAGUGUUAUAUAUAUAUAUAUAUAGAAGCCUCUGCCGAAUUUUCGGCAGAAUCCUUACUAAUUAGAUUAUUAUCAAGUCCGUUUUGAUGAGACUAGAUUGUCUCACCCGGGGGGAUUCGGGGCGGGUCAUUUCAGCUUGGGUUUAUGGAUCUGCACUCAACAUGCAUCACGGGCUUAAUAUUCUUUAUUAGUGCCAAUUAAAUCAUGAGGGAGGGUUUCCACUCUUCAUGAACCUCACUCCAACAAAUAUGGUGCUAAGUGUUUAUCGUGCCAAAUAGUAAUAACCUUGCAUUGGGAAGACAGUUAUACCAGUGUAAUAUUUAGACAAUAUUAUUAUUAUUUGUUGAUAAAAAGUCAAAUCAUCCACAAAAAUUAAAGGGGAAGAGAAAGUAAAUUUGCCAAAUUAAGCCCAUGGAACAUGUUGAGACUUCAUCUUCAACCCAAGCUUGAAAGAAAAUUAGCUACUCAUAAUUGACCUAGAGGUAAAAUAGAAAUUUAUUAAAAUAUGUAGAAAAUACAAGACAGAGAAGGAAUUAUAGAAAAUGAGCUCAAAAAUGGAUUCAAGGGUGUCAAAUUAGGGGGGAGCCUCCUAUUUAUAGAUACAAUAAGUAAAUCACAGUCAUUGGAUUAAAACAAUUUGGACGCUCAGGAUUGUGACAUGUGACAAAUUCUAAUUGGAUAGAACACAUCAUCAGGGUUGUCAUUCCGUGUAUAUGCAUGUAUCAUACGCACAUUUUUCGGUCCACUAACAUACUGCCACAUCAUCAGUCAAUGCCACAUUAACAUUUUAGUCCAAUAGGAUCGUGAAACAUUAUUGGUCAAGCCACGUCAUCAGUCAACACCACUCAAUGCCACAUCAUUCGUCCAAUCGAAUGUUGCCACGUCAUCGAUCAAUGCCACAUCAUCGGUCAACGUCAACAGUCAAUGCCACGUCAUCAUACUGUAUAUGUGAAUAGUAUUGUGAACAGUACAAUGAAUAGUACCGUAUAUGUGAACAAUGUCGUUUAUCCUUUUAUACUCUUCCUAAGGUUUUUCGACUGUCCUGAGUUCAAAAUUGCUGUCCAUUUUGCUAUCUGAUCUCUCGUUCACUGUGAAAUGACUAUGAUGCCCCCUAAAAUACAUAAAAUACUUUAAUUAUAAUAAAACACACAUAAUUAAAUCACAAGGGACUUAAAUACAUAAAAGUAGAGAUGUUAGAGAGACAUAUAUUAGGCUAUUACUGCAGCCAAGAAUAUUGAGAUUGUUGAUGUUGUUAGCCUUCAAUAUUAUUUAGAGAAAAACUUGUAUUGUAAUCUCAUUAAUAUAGUGGAAGAUUGUAUCGGACUAUGGCCCCAUACUCUUUCUUGCUUUGGGUUUUCCACGUAAAAAUUUGUGUCUUUUGUAGUUGAUUUAUUAUUUUAGAUUCAGUUGAUUGAUUUUUUUUUUGCCUAUUAUUUAUGGUACACAUCCUAUUUUAAUAACACAAAGAGGAAAAGAGUUUUAUUUCCGCUUAAUUUGCAAUUGCUUGUGUGAGUCCUUUUCCCAACAAAUUCUUUAAGAAUUAAACUACUCAGUUCAGUUUCUGAUUGAUGUAGGACGGUUUAGUAGGAUAACCAGGGUAAUUUUCAGAGUCAUAACUUGGGCUACAAUUGUUCAUUUUUUUUUCAUAUAAUAUAUCAUUUCGAAACUUGUGACAAGAUGCCGUCGAACCAAUAAUUUUGUUUCUUUCCCAAUCUUUUUUCAAUUUUAAAAUAUUUUCCUAUUUUUUCUAUUACUUUCAAGAUUUUUAUCUCUUUUCAAAUAUCAUAUUUAAGUGCUUUUUGUUUUGGUUUCCUUAUUUAGAUUACGAGAAUUUUAUUAUAAAAUAAUAUUUCAAAUUUGUCUAUUUCGAUAAAUUAGCGAUAUUCAAGAUUAUUAUAAAAGGGGCCAAAAAAUUUGAUUUUGUUUGUUCAAACUUUUCCUAAUAAAAUUUCGUUAUUCAAAAAUCUAGUUUCUCUUAUCUUUCAAUCUUUAUAUUUCUACAUCGUCAGAGGCCUAUUAACUAAAGACUUUCCUUUAGAGGUAACUCCAUUAUUUUAUGGUAAACUAUAAGCCUCACAAUAUACUUGUGAUUUCUCGAAUUCUACUGUGUGUGCUGGUCAGUACUCGAUCAAUCACUUGCUAUCCGUACCAAACAAAAAUUGUAUUAAACAGGGGAUCCCCAAAAACUUGGCAAUUCACCCAUGCAUGUAGCCCUCGGUACACUAAUAAAAGCAUGAAUAAUUGCAGUCGUUGUCUUUGUGAUGAGUGUACAUUGUGACAUUAACUCGUGUUAACAGUACUUCUAAGCACGUCUGUGUCCAUGGCCCAUUAAUUGGGCUCAUUAUAUAUUAAUAUUAAUUCCUUUAUAUCCUUGUAAGAAUUCAUAUAUAUCGAAAUGAGCGACAUGGCAGCAGUAUCAUGAUUAAAUCCUGAAGAUCAAUCCGCAUUAUUUGUUUUCUUUUUUUCAUUGGGAAAUCUUCGUAGAGGAGCGGAAAUCAGUCUAAAGGAUAGUAUUUUGUGCACGCCUUGACGAAUUUUGUAAUCGUUGGUGGAUGAACAGUGUUGUAAAUAGUAUCUGAUAAACAAUAUCUAUGAACAGUGACAUAAACAGUAUCAAUAGCUAAUACUUAUGGAGUUCUUUUCUAUGUUGAAAUUGAUGUUUCGGCAGGUUUUGAAAUUCAAAGAAGCAAUAUUAAUUCGUAUUUCCAACACCAAAAACUUGGUAAUGCACCAUGCAUGUAGCCCUCGGUAAAUCAAUUAAAGCACGAAUAAUUGCAGCUUUCGUCUGUGCGAUGAGUGUACAUUGAUGACAUUAACUCGUGCUAAAAGUACUUCUAAAUACGUCUGUGGCCAGUGCCCAUGAAUUGGCUCAUUGUAAAUUAAUAUUGAUCCCUUUAUAUCCUUAUGAGAACCAAGAAACAUCAUUUAUUAAAAUGAGCGAUGUGGCAACAUAGCUAACCCAACAAAAUAUGAUAUAAUUAUUUCCUUAAUUUUCUGUUAAAUAGUAAAAACAAUGAACAAUCAUUGAAAUUGAAAUUGAAAUUGAAAUUAAUUGAGGUAAUUACUAUGUUAUUGUAAUUAUUGCAACAUCUCUUGCUGUCGUAAAACAAUGUCUAAAACAUAUAUUAUUGCAACAAUUAAACUUUCUAUUUUAUCAUUCCACGACCAUUUUCAGAAUAAAUAAAAAUUGCUUUCAAUCAUUAAACUCACUUGGCUUGCUGUGCUGUGACUGAUUAACUGGUAAGCUAACUCGCAAAUGAUAUUUUGCCACAUGUCUAUAUUGCGUAAUGGUAUGGGGUCGGGGGUGGGGGUGGCCCGGUGGGGAAACUCUUUUCUUAAAAGUUUAUUCAUUUUUUAUACUAAUCCAUUACAAGCAACAAUUAUGACGGCGAUGUAAUUGAUUAAUUAAUAUGGAAUGCUUUCAGCAGAAAGGAGUGAAAAGCGAUUAAGUAAUGAACAUAUAGAGACUGGAGGGCCUUUUUCUUCUUCUUCAUCCUUUUUUUUUUUCUUUUUUCUCCCUCUUUUGAAACUGUUAUUAUAAUUAAAAAGAACCGCCGAUUACUUCUCCAUUUUUCGCUCCACAUAUGAAGUCCUAGCCUCCGAGUCAUGUUACAGUUUCUAAAAUUUUAAAGAAGUGUUUGUUGUAACUUUUCGCAGAGUGUCACAAUCCUUUUUCUAUUUAUUAAAUAUCUUAAUUGAAUUUGUUACACACAUAUUAUUCUUGCUAAAAAGACCAAAAUAACAAUACAAUAAAAUUGCAUCCAUCACGCCAUGCCCAUUGCCCUGAAAGAGUCAGUAGUACAGACAAAACCCAUAAAACCAGCGAAACUUGAUAGCGUAAUUAAUAAUUUUAACAACAUAUAACAGGGAACUUAGAGGAUAUGCUUAUACAGAUUCAAAUAACGAAAAAGUUUUAAAAAAUUAGAAAAUUAACAAUAAUAACAUGACAGUAAUAUAACAAUGCCACGUAUGUUUGUGAGAAUUUAUACUGGUGGUCUUACUCAGUUAAUAAGAUAUUUAACGAACUAAUAUAUAACUCUUUUAAUAAUUACAGCUUUUUAAUGAUUAGUUGUGUAUAUGCUACAUUCUUUGAUAUAGCAAUUUGAAAUUUAGCUGUUGCCACAAAAUGUUAAUCUCUAGUGAUUUUUUGGCAUGAUGGACAAAAACAAAAUUAUGGAAAGGCUGCAAUUUGAAGCAACGAUCACAAAUAGUUCACAAAUGAAUAGAUUGAUCCACAUGAAUUGAGGAAACAAAAUGUCAAAACGAAGCAUAGGUUGCCAUUUCAAGCUACAAGGGCAAAUAGUUCAGAAAUGUGUUCCACGGGAAUUGCCUGAUCUUGUGCUUAAAGCAAACAUAAGGGCAUAAUUUUAUAUAGCAACCGACAAACUGAAAUUAGAUAAAUACUUUUUCCGUUUUUCCGUUAAUUUAUUAGAACUGCCUUUGAAAUCUCCCAUUAUCAUACAAAGUUACAAACCAUGUAUGUGCACUUGUCCUUUGGUUGCAUCUGUAGCCUUCUGUCAUCAAAUAUAUAUUAUCCAAGUCUCAAGUAAGGGCAUUUAAGUAAAUAAAGUUUGUAUUAGUUAAAGCAAAAAUAAUCUCUCCCAAAAUUCGGCGCUUGCAGCUUGCUUUCACUCAAUUCAAAUCCUAUAAAUGCCCCCAUUAAAUCGUUUCAAAUUCCAUCAACCAAACAUUCAAUCCUCAAACUAUUUAUCUAUUCCUCUCAUUCCUAUCUUCAAAUUAAGUUUUCAAGAAAAUGGCAAAAUCAAUGUCUUUGCGUAUUCUUUUAGUACUAAUAAUCUUGAUUCUCUUCUUUAGUUCAUCUUUAGCAAUUCCAGUGGUCACUUACAAUGUGAUCAGUUUGGGAGCCAAAUCGGAUGGCCGGAGUGACUCAACGAAAGCCUUUCUAGCUUCAUGGGCCAAAGCUUGUGGCUCAACUGCGGCCUCAACCAUUUACGUGCCACCUGGGAGGUACUUGCUGCACAAUGUUGUGUUUCAAGGCCAAUGCAGGAACAAUGACAUUACCACACGUAUUGAUGGGACUCUAGUGGCUCCAUCCGAUUAUCGUGUCAUUGGAGAUGCGGGAAACUGGAUUUUAUUUUAGCAUGUUAAUGGCGUUUAUAUUUAUGGUGGCAUCCUUGAUGGCCAAGGUGCUGGCUUGUGGGCUUGUAAACGAUCAGGCAAUAAUAAUUGCCCUAGCGGUGCCACGGUAAGUUGGAAGAUCGUUGCUUUUAAUUAUAGUCAUAAAUUAAGUGGUUUUUGGUUUUGGUUAUUCUCCUCAGAUUAAAAUAAUUAAUAACGUUCCUUCUUGUGUAAAUGAGCAGACACUGGGCUUUAGCAACUCAAACAACAUUCUGAUUAACGGACUAACAUCCCAAAAUAGCCAGAUGUUUCAUGUUGUCAUCAAUGGAUGUCACAAUGUGAAAGUACAAGGGGUGAGAGUCUCGGCCUCGGGAAACAGCCCUAACACCGAUGGCAUUCAUGUUCAAUUAUCAAGUGAUGUCACAAUUUUGAACGCUAGAAUUGGGACUGGAGAUGACUGUGUAUCAGUUGGCCCUGGCACCACCAAUUUAUGGAUUGAAAACGUUGCUUGUGGCCCUGGCCAUGGCAUCAGGUAGAAAAUAAAGAACAUGCAUGAUGAUUUAUUUAUAGCAUUUUUUUUUAUGUCAUAAUAUUUAGUGCUACUAUUGUGAAUUCGUUGCAGCAUUGGUAGCUUAGGCAAAGAGCUGCAUGAGGCUGGAGUGCAAAAUGUGACAGUAAAAAUUGUGACAUUUACAGGAACUGAAAAUGGAUUGAGGAUUAAGUCCUGGGGAAGACCAAGCACUGGAUUUGCUCGGAACAUUCUUUUCCAACAUGCUCUUAUGAAGAAUGUCGAUAAUCCCAUCGUAAUUGAUCAAAAUUACUGCCCGGACAACAAGAAUUGCCCUGGAAAGGUAUUUUAUUUAUCACAAGUUUAUAUGUGAGAAUGUUAGACGUUUAUGUGAAUAAAAUUUAAAUUAAUAAUUAUAUUUUUUAUAUUCAACAGUCAUCAGGGAUUAAAAUCAGUGAUGUAACAUACCAAGAUAUUCAUGGAGCAUCUGCAACGAAAAUUGCUGUAAGGUUUGAUUGUAGUCCAAAGUAUCCAUGCUCUGGCAUAAACUUGGAGGAUGUGAAGCUCAUUUACAAGAAUCAACCAGCUGAAGCAUCGUGUAGGAAUGCUGAUGGAUCGGCCUCUGGUUUUGUUCAGCCAAAUAGUUGCUUGAAAUUGUGAAAAAUAAAAUUAAUUCUUGCGUUAAAUUGCGUUUUUUUUUUUUUUCAUUUCCUUUUUAAUGAGCCUAGGAAUGUUCCAUGGGCCUAUCUGAGAAAACCCAUUGGGCUUCUUGGAGGAUGCUUAUACUAAUUGCCGUAUAAGACAAAAUCAAAACUUCACUCCUUUGUACUCAAAGAAAUGCAGUCAUAUGUUUUGGGUAACUAAUGUUUGAUCCGAAAUUCUGCCUAUUGAAACUAUUAAAAUUAUCAUUUCCUAUUAAAAUCAAAUUUGAAAUCGGGAGACGGCCUUUCACCCACCCACUCUGUUUGGGCGAUAGCCCAUUGCCCGGAUUGAGAGAUGGCUAUCGCCCAACCAUCGCUCAAAAAAAAUAAAAAAUUAAUGAAUUCGAUUUAAUGGAGUUUAUGGUAAAAAUUAGUUUUCAUCUUAUUGUCUAGUCUAAUAUAUAAUUUUACUUUUGUAUGUUAAUUUUUUUUAAUCGUAAAGUUAAAUGAUUAAAUAAUAAGUAACGUCGUGGUGAAUAUGAAAAGUAUUAAAGAUCAAAAGAAAUUCUCCUUUCCAAUCAAUAUCCUUUUUCUUUUAUCUUAGUAAUAUAUCAUUCAUUCAUCAUAUACAUGGGUAUGAUCGAAUAAGAAAUUAAUAUGAAACAACUGUCCAAAAUGAUAGGUAGCAUAUAAUUUAAACUGCAAGAUAUUUGAGAAGUGUAGUAAAUAUCUAAGAAUUAUGUAUCCUUCAGUGGCACAUAAUUUAAUUACUUAUUUAAGAAUUUAGAAGUAAUGUAUGUUUGGUAAAAUAGUAUUUAAAAAAUAAGCACAAUUAAAAUCAGCGUACUGGAUUUAAAUUUCAUGCAAACAGAGAAAUCUAAGAUCUAUCUAAGAAUUUGUUUUUUAACUAAAGUUACUAAUUAAGUAAACCAACAAUUGUUUUAUUUUUAAUACAUAGUUUAAUAAUUAUUAAAGUAAAUAAUAUGUUUUCUUAAUCUAGUUUCUCCACCGUUUCUCAUUUUCUCCGGACUCUUCAAUUCUCCCUCUUUUGCUUCAGUGUGAAAAAAUGCGGUCAUACUUUAGUCAAGAUUAGGUGGCAAGCUAGCAGUUAUCAAGCACAAGUAAAACAACGUACUAUACUAGACCAUGAAAAAUGAAACAGAAACAACAACAACAACAAUAAUAAUAAGGGUUUCUCUAUGAUGCUGUAAUUUUUUUACAGCAUCAAUAAUAUUUUUAAUUGUAUAUCAUUGGAUUUAAUCAAUGGUACACAAUAUUUGUAGUAAAAAAAUAAAAAUAAAAAUAAAAAUAAUGGUAACGGUUAACAAACGUGCAAGGGGUGGAGAAUUUUAUAAAAUAACUAUGACCACCCUUAGAGUUUGAAACAAUUUUACUUAAAUAGCAUAUUGUAUUUAAAAUUAAUUUUCAAUCCUCCUUUAAAUUUGAAAUGUGAUAAUCUUUUUUAAAUAAAUCUUCCAAAAUUUAUUACCAUUAAGUAUAAAAUAUAAUGGUAGGUUAUUUAACAUAAAUCAAAUAAAUAAGUUGCAAUUACAAAAUUUAUAUAUGAUAUAAUAGUAAUAAAUAACACAACUAAGUACAUAUACUUAAGUAAAUGUUAUAGUUACAUCAAUAAACUCAUUAUUGAGAUUGCUUGUAACAUAAAAAUUACUUGAUCACACAUGUUUUAAUAAAAUUUAAUAUCGUAUAUUAAAAUACUCAUUAUGUUAUAUAAUAUUAAGGGUCAUUGUAUAAUUGAUCAUGAAGUAUGUAUUAUUUUUAACACCCAUUUAACAUACUUAUUCUCUGAACUUUAUAUUUAUUUUACAAUUAAUAUCCUUACAUGGUAGGAAUUUUAAGUUUUAUAAGCCUAUAUAUUUUCAUUUUAUUUUCAAAUAUCACUUUGUUAAUUUCAUAAAAGUUAAAUCUAAUAUAUAUUCCUAAUGAGAUUUAGUUGAUGAAUCGUGAAAAAUUAUUUUAUUGAUAUCCUUUGAUUGUAAUUAUAAAAUUUUAUGUUAUUAAGAGUCAUUACUUUUGUUAUGAUAAUUAAUAGUGACAAUAAAUAAAAUAUUGCCUCCAAUAAUAUUUACGUGGGAAAAAAAUGAAAGAAAAUCAUUUGUAUUUUUAGAUUUUUAUUGACAUGGUAGGAAAUUAUCUUAGCCUUAUAAAAUUUAACUUUCACAAGCUUGUUUUCAUUUUAUUUUCAAAUGUCACUUUGUUAAUUUCAUAAAAGUUAAAUCUAACAUAUAUUCCUAAUUAACUUUAGUUUAUGAAUCAUUAAAGAUUAUUUUAUUGUUAUUCUUUGAUAGUAAUUAUAAAAUUUUUAUGCUACGAAGAGUCAUUACUUUUAUUAUGAUAAUUAAUAGUGACAAUAAAUAAAAUAUUACAUCAAAUAAUAUUUAAUGGACAAAAUGAGGAAAAAAAAUCAUUGUAUGUUUUUAUAUUUACAUUAUAAAGAUAUGGUUUGAGAUACUUUAACUUAAAAUUUUAGCACAAUAGUUGAGCCACUAAUAUCUCAUAGUCUAAUGGUUGAUAUUGAAAGUCAAAGCAACAUUUCAUAAUGUUAUAUCCUCCACCAUUGAAUUGCAUGAAAUAAAUAGUUUAAUUUUUUGAUAAAAAUUUAAAUCAAAGUAUUUCUCACUCUAUAGUUAUAUAGACAUAUAUAUUUUUCAAUAAUAAUUGGUGAAUAAAAUAUUUCUUAUUUGUUGUGACUCAUAUAGUAUUAUUAAUAAAACACAUAUAAAAUAGUUUAUUGCAAUGCUUUCUAUUAUCAUUAUUGUUUAGGCAUUAAUGGUUUGUAAUUAAAUUCAUACAUACAAUUAUUACAAGACUUUGUGUUAAUAACCUACUUGAUAUUAUAUUUUAUACUUAAUGGUAACUGAUUUUGAAGAUUUAUUUAAAGAGAUUAUCAUAUUNNNNNNNNNNNNNNNNNNNNNNNNNNNNNNNNNNNNNNNNNNNNNNNNNNNNNNNNNNNNNNNNNNNNNNNNNNNNNNNNNNNNNNNNNNNNNNNNNNNNUCUGCUAUCUGCGUUCACGCACAAAGAAAAAACUCUUCAUCUCACCAUUUUCAUCUCUUUGCAUCUCACCAGUUCCGCAUCUCAGUUACCAUAAGGAAGAAGUUAGAUCUAGAUCUAUAAACAGAGAUUUUGAUAAAAUUAGUACUGAUUAAUUAGUAAGUUAGUGACUCUCACUAUAUUCAAAUAAAAUUUUUAUUGUGUUCUAUAUAUUUAAAUGAUUAGAAUAUUUAAUUUAAAUUGUAAAAAUUCGUAAAUUUUUAUUUUUUAUAUAUUUAAAUUGUUAUGAAUUGUUAUGAUUUUUUUAAUUUAAAUGGUUGUUAAAUAAUGGAAUAGAUUAUAACAAUUUCUGAAUGUGUUUUAUGAACUUUAAAUUUUUAAAAUUAUGUUAGAUUUGACUUUAAAUCUUUGAAAUUGUAGUGAUGGAAUAAUAUUUUGUGUUAAAUUAAAUUUUUAAUUUUUGAAAUUAUGUUAGAUUUGUUUAAUUUUGUCCGCUUGCAAUUUAUUUGUUCACGCUAUCAUGAAGUGAUAUUAUAUAGGCAUCGAUGGUUUUUUAAUUAUUACAAAAUAUUAUUUUUUAAUUAUUUAACAAAAAUUGAUACAAAAUAUUAAUUUUGUAUGACUGAGAGAUACAUAGGGUUAAACAGGACGAGUAGAGAAAGGAACGAAUGAAAAAUAAGUGGAAUGAACAAAGUAAUUAACGAGAAUGAAUAGAGGGGACAAAGUGGAGAACGAGUAGUUGAGGAUGAGAAUAAGUGGAUCAGAUUUUAAAUAAUAAAGAUAUUUAAAAAUUUUUCAUUUUUUAUUAUAAUAUUUGUUGUCGGUCCCACAAAAAAAUUGGAUGAGAGCAGGCGUGAAAGAGCAUUUUUUUUCAUUUUUAUUCUUUAUUUUAAUAAUUGUUAUCGGUCCCACAAAAAAAGAAAAUUGAAUGAGGAAAGGCGUGAAACGGCAGCCAAUUUCUGUCGUCCCAUCGUCGUGCUUUCGUCUAUUUACCAUUUCUCGACAUUAUUUACAAAUUGUUCUUAUGUUUCACAGAAAAAUGAAACACUGUUCAUCAUACAAAAUUGCAUGACCGAAUCUUCAAUUUUUAUAAUUAUAAAAUAAUGGAUUAUGUGUAUGUUAAUGUUACGGAUAUGAUCAGAUCAUCAUAUAAGUUACUAGACGCAUUAACAAGAACAAGAUCUAAUGAGCUAAAAGUUUUUUUUUUAAAUUAAAUAAAUAAAGAGUAAAAGUAAAAAAAAAUGUUAUUUGCAAUCACUAAAAUGAAAACAGAGGAGCCCUGUUUUUCCUCUCGUUUCUCUUUCUCUCUUUUUCAAGUAGUAGAAAAUGAUAACAGAGUUUGAGAGCUCACUGCUUUCAUUAGUUGGAAAGUGUCGCCUAAAACACUUCCUCUGCUAGGUGGAAUUGUUGGCUUGAAGAGAAGAGUUCUUGUUACAAGCACAAAUUUUAGCUGUACAUUAUUUCCUUUUAAAUGCACCAUUGUUGCACAGAUUUGAACCCUAUGAUCAUUAGUUUUUUGUUUUGAUUUGGUUAGUUCGUGAUGACAAAUAAAUUAUUUUCAUCACAUUAUGGUAAAAAGUUGCCCUCUUUGUUACUUCCACAGCUAUUUAGUUUAAUAUUUUGUAAUAAGAUCACAAAGUGCAUGGGACCUAUUGUUCGGGUACUUAGCCUAAAAUGAAGAUCUAUUAAAAAUUUCCCUGAUGUCAUGAUAUAAAACAAUAAAAGGUACCAACUUCAGCUUAAAUUCAUAUAAAAUUAAACCUUACCACAUACUGUAUUGAAACAAAUUACUCAUCUUUAUUGGUAACAUCAUCACCUUCAUAAAAUAUAUGGUAUCGUACAAAGUUCUUGCGCUGGGUUCGGGCAUCUAACAACGAGGACACAGCAACCUAUUCGCUAGGUUAGAGACCAAAGAGCCAACAGCAAAUGUGCACGACGCAUGUCACUAUCAUGAAAACAACAUUCUUUUUCUUUUUUUUUUUCUCCUCAAUAAUUUCAGAUAUAAUAUUUUAACUAAGUUUGUAACACUGUUGAUUGAAAUUAUCAAGUACGAAUGUGUGUAGAUUUUAACAUGUGCACUCAUAAUUAUUAUUGUGCAGUUUUAGACUUAGUUGGGUAUUGAGGUGCUAAAACUUUUGCCGUAAGAAAAAAAAGUUUUAAGUAUAAAAUAAAAUUUAAUAGUAUCUAAUAAAUUUAGUUUUUUAAUAAUAUGUUGAGUACAUAAAAGCCCCAGGUCGGCCAUGCUACUAUUUUCACCCCGGCAUGGAUCACCUCAGCCAAAUGGUAUGAGCAGAACGCGGGAUAAACACGAGCCAACCAGAGACGAGUACCGGCCAGGGUAAUGUACCGACCAGAAUCAUAUACCGAGCCGACACCAAUUCCCCAAAAAAGCGGGAACACGAUCCCACAGAAUCACGGUAGUUGCGCUUUUCCCAGAACCGUUGUGGGAGAUGCGAGAUCCCACGUUUGCCCACAAUGUAGCAGUUAAAAUCCCAUGAGAGGCUACCACUACCCGAGAAAGGGGGGGAUGAAGGGUGAGUGAAAACGUGGGACAGCGGCUAUAAAAGAAGAAGAAACCAAUUAAGAAGGGGAGAGAAAAAUUGAGAGAGGGAAAACGCUGCCAAAUUGCAAUCAUGCCAUUUUCUGACAAGACUCCGAAUAAUUUAGAAACCAUUUUUAGAUCUAAAUUGCACUGUUUUCCCGUAAACACCUUGAGCUAACUUAGGCAUUGGAGGGUUUUCGCCGGCAAAACCACCGGCGACUCUGAUCCGUUUUUGGUGAACGCAGGUCUAGUAAGAGAAAGGAGGGUGAUUCCAACCUCAGAGGUUCGAGCAACAGUCGAUAACGUAAACGUUGGUGAAAGAAUCUGGUCGGUCAAAAGGCGAGCAGAUUUAAGCAUCAACAUUUUGGCGCCGUCUGUGGGGAGCUGGAUAAAAAGCUACCACCGAAUUAGUAGUUACCGGAGAAACAACGAACGAUUAGACAUGGAUUUGCCAAGGAAGGACGCUUUGAGGGAGGAUAACGAAUCGGGGGAGACAAGAACCCUUCGGGAAAUUGCAAAUGAAGCCCGAGAGAGGGUGAUGCAAGAUCGAUUGGAAUAGAUGGAGAAGCAAAUGGAGACUCUCGCUACCAUACUGAAUGAGCUGAGAGAUGAGCGGAGAAGGGAUUGCGAAAUCCCCGUGGGGAGAGAUGAUGUGGGAGCAGAACCCAACCUCCGGAGGCGUAGAGUCGAGGAGAUCCCUUCGCCGGUGGACCAACCUUAUGGGGUGCAUCCCCACAGAAGCACUGGUUGAGUUCCUGGAGAACAAAUAGAUGAAGGGAGGAACCAACCUCGCCCCAGGCGAGUACUGGAAGCUGAUGGCCGAGGAGCCAUUGCUGAUGAAGGAGAGUUAAGACAGCGGUUGCAGAAUGUCGAGCAGGAGCGAGAUCAGAUAGCUGCACGUGAUCCUGACCGUGAUGUAGAAUUGGAGGGAGAGGUGCGCAGAUUAGCGCAAGUGAUAAAGGAGAUACAGGGUAAGAGGAAGCCCCCGAGCUGGAGGAUAAUGCUAGAUGAAGAAUCUCCACUAUCAACUGAGAUCGUGGGUACCAUAAUCCCAAGAGAUUUCCGCUUCCCCGACCUCAAAUACUCCGAGCGAAGUGACCCGCUGGUGCACAUUGAGCGUUUCAACGACAUGAUAGGUGUGCAGGGGCUGACACCAGCUCAGAGGUGCAGGGUGUUCCCGUUGACAUUAGAGGGACGAGCCCGAGAAUGGUACCGCAAGCUGCCCCGAGGAAGUAUAAAGGGGUAUGAGCAGAUGUGCCAGGAGUUGGCCGAGUAGUUCCGAGGGGCAGUGGCCCCAGAGGACGACAUGAUGGAACUGAUGAGGAUGAAACAGGAGGAGCAUGAAUCCCUUCGAGAUUUUAUAAAACGAUAUCACCGAGCCGUGCUGGAUCUGGGAGCUUUUAAUCACCCGCAGGCGUUGAGGGGAUUAAAAGAAGGUGUAAGAAUCGGCCGACUGUGGUAUAACUUAAGAAGCCCCUUUGUACAGAAUUACUCAUCAAGGUAUGAGCAGGCGAGGCAAGAUAUAGAAAUCGAAGAGGAGAAAUCGGCAAGAAUAAAAAGUGAACAGUUGGACGAGCUGAGGCGAAAGGAAUGGAGAGCCCCGACCGGGAGCGGGUCGGGAAAACGAGCUGGAGAAUCUUCAGUGAUGGGCGGAAUAUCGGCUCGGUCCCGCCCUUACCCCAUAGCUCCGAGAUCACAGCAGUUCCAGCACAACCGGGCUCAACCUCCGCGUCCCCCAUUUCCGGAUCGGCAACGAGAAUUCCGGCAGAUGGCUGCCCACCCCUAUCACAACACUCCCAGAGCAUUCUAUGCAACCAAUUCCAGGACUAGUUGACCAGAUCAGUUAGCGACUGUGCCAGCCCGAGGUGAAAUUCAUGAUAGUCGAACAGUUCAGCUGGUAGACCAGAGCUUGGCGUAUAGACAGUAUACUCCAUUAAAGAUCUCCAUGGAGGAAUUGUAUGAGAGGAUCGAGGGACGAGGCCUGCUGUACCCUCCAGCCCCUAUAACAAAACCGGCUCACCGACGGGAUAAGAGCAAAUUCUGCAAAUUCCACGACACUCAUGGUCACACUAUCAGCUAAUGUCGUGACCUGAAAAUUCAGGUGGAGGAUUUGGUGAGAAACCGUUAUUUGGACGAAUAUGUAGAUGGAAUGUCCCCCGUCACUGAAUCACAAUACACGUGGGAUGAAGAGGCUGAGAUGGGCCUGGAACGUGAACAGCUGACUAUCCGUGUAAUAGCAGGGGGGCCAACAUUGGCUGGGGAUUCGAACAGGGCACGGAAGAACUAUGGGAGAUAUGCCCUGACUAGCAAAGAAGUGCUUUUCAAUUUGCCGGCAACCAAGAAGGCAAAAGUGCGGCAAGUUCCCAUUAUGUGGACAGAUGACGAUGAAGAGGGUAUCUUAUAUCCGCAUGAGGAUGCAUUGGUGAUCAAGGCAAUGGUGGCUGGUGCAGAAUUGCGACAAAUACUAGUAGACACAAGCAGCUCGGUUGACAUCCUGUUUAAGUCGGCUCUAGAUGAUAUGGGGAUUGCAGACUUGAAAUUGGAGCGGACAAAUACAUCUUUAAAGGGAUUUGGAGGGGGACGGUUAACUCCCAUGGGGAUCAUCGAACUCCCAAUUACUAUGGGGACGAAGCCAUUUGAAAGAACAAUGAUGCUGGAUUUUGUCGUGGUAGAGGAAAGAAGCCCUUACCAGAUGAUACUGGGGAGACCAUUCAUGAGGAUAAGCCAAUGCGUUGUAUCCACGCAUUACUUGGCACUGAAAUACAGAGUAAAUGGGGUGGUUGGCGUAGUAAAAGGCGACAAGAGGAUGGCAAGGAGUUGUUAUGCUACAGCGGCCAAGGAGACACUGCAGGUUACUUCUCUAGAUAAUCGAGGAGAGUCCAAAAAGGGCUGCCAAGAGCCUGUUGAGAAACUGGAGGAAGUUGCGGUAAGCAAAAGCAACCUGAGCAGAGUAGUGAAGAUCGGGUCAGGAUUGGUUGGGGCAGUAAAAGGCGAGCUGAUAAAUUGCUUACAGUCUCAUGCGGAUAUAUUCGCCUGAUCUCAUGAAGAUAUGCCCGGAAUUGAUCGCGGGGUAGCUUGCCACAAGUUGGCAAUCAAGAAGGGGGCAAGGCCGGUGAGACAGAAGAGGAGAUGCUUCAACCAGGAAAGGUACGAGGCCAUAAACGCCGAGGUGGAGAAGCUGUUGAAAGCAGGAUUUAUAAGGGAAGCCAAGUACCCAGAAUGGAUUUCAAAUGUAGUCCUGGUAAAAAAGGCCAACGGGAAGUGGAGAAUGUGUGUGGACUUCACGGACCUCAAUAAGGCAUGCCCAAAGGACAGCUUUUCCCUACCCAAAAUAGAUCAGCUGGUGGACUCAACAGUAGGUCACAGUCUGCUCAGUUUCAUGGAUGCCUUUUCUGGAUACAACCAGAUACCCAUGGAUGAGCAGGAUGAGGAAAGCACUGCCUUUAUAACUAACAUGGGUUUGUUUUGCUACAGGGUAAUGCCUUUCGGCCUAAAAAAUGCAGGAGCCGCCUAUCAAAGGUUGGUAAACAAGAUCUUCAAACCGCUGAUUGGACACACUAUGGAGGUAUAUGUGGAUGAUAUGAUUACAAAGUCCAAAGAGCCGAGGGAUCAUGUGAAGCAUCUAGAAAAGACCUUUGAAUUACUGAGGAAGUAUGAGAUGAAACUAAACCCGGAGAAAUGUGCAUUUGGGGUCAGCUCGGGCAAAUUUCUGGGAUUCCUGGUAAGCCACCGAGGGAUUGAGGCCAACCCCGAAAAAAUACGAGCGGUUACAGAUAUGAGAUCUCCGCAGACAGUUAAAGAGGUGCAGAGCCUUACAGGGAAGUUGGCAGCAUUGAACCGAUUCAACUCGAGGGCCACAGAUAAAUGCCACCCUUUCUUCCAAAUCAUAAAGAAAGGGAGAAAGAUGGAAUGGACAUCAGAGUGCGAGGAAGCAUUUGGGCAGCUGAAGGAAUAUCUGGCCUGUGCACCGUUACUGUCAACUCCGAGAGAGGGUGACCAGCUGCUUUUGUACUUGGCAAUCUCCAAGCGGGCUACCAGCUCGGUUUUAGUCAGGGAAGAAUAAGGGAAGCAACACCCGGUAUACUACACGAGCAAGGCCCUGGUGGACGCAGAAACCAGAUAUCCACUAAUGGAGAAGUGGGCGCUGGCUCUGAUAACGGCAGCACGCAAACUCCGACCAUAUUUCCAAGCCCACCAGAUCGUUGUGAUGACUGACCAGCCCCUUCGGCAAGUGCUUCAAAAACCAGAUGCGUCUGGUCGGUUAGUAAAAUGGUCCGUGGAGCUGAGCAAAUUUGACCUGUCCUACAGGCCCCGAGGAGCAAUCAAGGCCCAAAGCCUGGUAGAAUUUAUGGUAGACCGAGCUGAGCCAGGGGAAGGAGAUCGGGAGGAGCAACCGUUAGAGCAGGAGAAAACAAAGGGGAUGUGGUUGGUAAUGGUUGACGGAUCAUGUAGUGAGCAAGGAUCCGGAGCAGGGGUUGUAAUACGGAGCCCAGAAGGAUCCGAAAUAACGUAUGCAGUGAAGUUCGAAUUUCAGCUCGCAAACAACCAAGCUGAAUACGAAGCCUUUAUCACCGGGCUCGGACUCGCACACGCCUUAAAAGCGGAGAGGGUAGAAAUUCGAGCAGAUUCCCAAUUGGUAUGUAAUCAGCUCAAUGAUCAGUUCCAAGCAAGGGGAGAGAAGAUGGGCCUUUAUUUGAAGAAGGCGAAGCAGAUGGUCGGGCUUUUCCAAGAGGUGGAGGUAAAGCAGAUAUCCCGGAAUGAGAAUUACCGAGCGGAUAUGUUGGCUAGGAUGGCUGCAAUUGCAGACCCGAAAUUACCUAAGUCGGUUCCACUAGAGGUAAGGACCUCACCGAGCAUAGGGGAGGAAGUGGAGGUGAUGAGAGUAAGCACUAGAGAAUCCUGGAUGGACCCGAUUCACGCGUAUGUCCGCGACGGAGUUUUGCCUGAGGACAAAAGGCAAGCGAGAAAGUUAAAAUGCCGAGCAGCGAGGUACACGCUACUAGAUGAAGUGCUGUACCGCCGAGGGUUCACCUUGCCCCUUUUGCGAUGUGUGGAUGAUGAGGAGGCAGAUUAUGUACUAAGGGAGAUUCAUGAAGGAAUUUGCGGCAAUCACUCGGGAGCAAGAACUUUAGCCUUCAAGGCACUCCGGCAAGGGUACUUCUGGCCAACCAUGCACCAGGAUGCAAAAAAGAUGGCAAAAAACUGUAAAACGUGCCAAAGCUUCUCUGAGGUCCCCACACAACCCCCAGAAAAGCUGACCACUAUGACAUCCCCAUGGCCUUUUGCACAAUGGGGAAUCGACCUGAUUGGUCCGUUACCGAAAGGCCGAGGAGCGGCAACCCAUGCAAUUGUAGCAGUAGACUACUUCACCAAGUGGAUAGAGGUGGGGGUCCUUAGCCAAAUCACGGAGAGAAAGACAACGGAUUUUAUCUGGAAGAAUAUCAUCUGCAGAUACGGAAUCCCUUAUACCAUCAUCACCGAUAAUGGGAGGCAGUUUGACAACAACAACUUCAGAGAGUUUUGCCGAAACCUAGGGGUAGACCUGAAGUUCUUCACCCCCGCACACCCUCAGGCAAACGGACAAGUGGAAGCAGCCAACAAAGUGGUAAAGAAACUCCUGAAGACUAGACUGGGAGAGAAGAAAGGAGCUUGGGUCGAUGAGCUACCAGGGGUAUUGUGGGCUUACCGGACAACUCACAAAACCGCUACAGGGGAAACCCCGUUUGCCUUAGCUUUUGGUCAUGAGGCGGUAGUCCCCGCAGAAAUUGGAGUAGGAACACAUCGGACGGAAUACUUCAAUGAGGAGCAAAAUGGAGAGCAGAUCUGCUUGAGCCUGGACUUGCUGGAGGAGAAAAGGGAAGGGGCUUCGCAGAAAGUGGCCCAGUGUCAGCAAAGGGUCACGCGUUAUUACAACAAGAACGUACGCGUGAGGCAGUUCCGAACAGAAGAUUGGGUGCUCAGGAAGGUGAGCCAAAACACUAGGGAUCCCAACCAUGGAGCUCUUGGUCCGAAAUGGGAAGGCCCGUACAGGGUGAUAUGAGCAACUGGACCAGGAGCCUACAAGCUGGCGUAUCCAGACGGACGAGAGGUGAAGAGGUCGUGGAACGCCGAGCACUUGAAAAAGUACUUCCAGUAAGCAAAGUGCUCUAAUAGUUUUCAUUUUGACAAGUUAUUUCUGUUAUGAGCACGGUGAUUUGUGACACACACAUAUAUCCCACAUUUCUGUAACGCAUUCGAAAUUCAAUAAAGAUGAAUUCAGUAUGGAACCUUUCUGCUAACAAGCUCAUUAAAUGUUUACUAAGGCAAGUAAAUGCCUGUUUCUGCUCGGUCAACGAAAGACUAGCAGCUAAUCUACGAAAAUUCUACUAAGGCAAGUAAAUGCCUGCUUCUGCUCGGUCCACGAAAGACGAGCAGCUAAUCUACGAAAAUUCUACUAAGGCAAGUAAAUGUCUGCUUCUGCUCGGUCAAUGAAAGACCAACAGCUAAUCUACGAAAAAUCUACUAAGGCAAGUGAGUGCCUGCUUCUACUCGGUCAACGAAAGACCAGCAGCUAAUCUACGAAGGCAAGUGAGUGCCUGCUUCUGCUCGGUCAACAAAAGACCAGCAGCUAAUCCUACGAAAAUCCUACUAAGGCAUGUAAGUGCCUACUUCUGCUUAGUCAACGAAAGACCAGCAGCUAAAUUUAUGAGACUUUUACUAAGGCAAAUAUGUGUCUGCUCCUGCUCAGUCACCGAAGACCAGCAGGCAAUUUUGCAAAAAUUUUUACUAAGGCAAACGGAUGCCUAUUCCUGUUCGAUGCACUAAAGAACCAACAGGCAAAACCGGACAAGAAAGCCAAUAGAGAGCAUUUAAAAUUUUUUAUAAACGUUCAAAUGUUUACAAAGCAAAUGAAAAACUAGAGUCUUUACAAAAAUAGACCUAAGGAUUAGGAGGAUCAACGGCCUCAGUAGGUGAAGGGUCAGCUAUCUCGGGAGGUGGAAGAUUAGCAAUAUCGGGAGGAGGAGGCACGGACCCCUGCCCCACUUCAAAAACACGCUGCCCAGCUUCUCCCUCCUGCACCCCAUUCAAAGGAACCUCCACCUGCUCCUGCUCAUCCUGCUCCUUAUCUCCCUGGCCGGCCCCAGCCAUAUACCUCUCCACCCCAGAUUCCAGCUUGCUCAUGUCGAGCUCGGGGUAUUCUUCCUUGAGCAUAGACAUGAUGCACUUAUAGCUGAAAGCAACCCCGGAGUUAUACUCAGCAUCCAACCGAUCAUCCACAUCAGCGGAUUUGCCUUUCUCUUCAGCCAGCUGGUCACUCAGGGAUUUGAUCUCUCCCUCAAGGGCGGUCCUUAGAGUAUCUCUUUCACUUUAAGUAGCCUGAAGAUCGGACUUCAAAUCACCCAACUCACCCUCAAGCUUGGAGGAAAUAGACUCAGUAACCGCAACUUUCUCUUCAAGCUCUGUAAGCUGCUUGUUCAGCUCGGCCAGCUUCUCCUUGGACCGAUCAGCAGAUUCGGCUUUCUUUUUCAAUUCCUGGUUAUCAGCUUGAAGUUUCCUCUCAUGACGCGCGGACCCGGACUUGUAGCACGAGACCAUUGUGGCCAGCCUGAAGGAGACUCUUUGAACAGAAGCAGCUAACUUGGAGAGGUUCAUGCUCUCGAUGUCCUUCACCAUCUUGGGCCCAACCGAUUUUUUAUAAUCUUUCUGAUAUGGGCUCAGGUAGUCACCUUGAUCCCGAGAUGGAAGAGGAGAAGAUCGGUCCCCAGACUGCAAGCUGACCUCAGGACUCUUGUCAGAGGUUUUCUCCCCACCACUCUUACGGGGUGGGGGAGGGGGCAGAGCAGGGACAGGAGCCUUGGAGGGGCCGACACUGGUCUUCUUUGGAGGAGGAGGAGGGUUGCUGGAGUUGCUUGGAGCUCGACCACGCUUUCGGGACAGAGCGCUAAGAAUCUUGUUAUCCAUUCCGGCAGCUAUGUCCACCAAACCCGAACCAACCAGGGCUGUCGGUGACAGGAGAUCUUGGCAGGUAGAUGCGUUCACCAGAGCAGUUUCCACCUGGAGUAGAGGUCGGUCUUCAAGCCCCUUUAUCAAACCCCACGACUCUGAAAGAACAAACAAGGUUAAAGAACCCAAUAAGUAACAAGUCGAGAAAGAGUAUAGGCAAAAAAUGAACGACUUGGGGUGACAAAAUGUGUUGGAAGGUAAAUAUCACCACCCAACGAAUGAGCUACUGGACACCAAGCUCCCCCAGCAAAGAAGAAUUUGUUCUUCCAAUUUUUGCACGAGGAGGGGAAGCCGGUGAUUGGUUUCCUCUUCGCAGAGCUCGACAUGAAGUAAUACCAGCCUGCUUCCUUCGGGCUACUCCUCAACUGGUAUAGAUGCUUCACUUCAACGAGGGAGGGCUCCUCUGAUUCACACCUCUUCCACAACACAUACAUAGCCGAAAGAACCCUCCACCCAUUGGGAUGUAGCUAACCUGGGGCCAGGUGCAUACCACCCAAUAUCUUAGCAAAAUAACGUUGAAGGGGCAGCCGAGCUCCUAAUUUGAAGCUCUCCAGGUGCAUCGUCACAUACCCCCGCAGAGGCCGACUAGGGACGUCACCUUUUCUUGGAACUACCAGGAGAAUCUCCGCAGGAAUGUCGUAAAGGUUCCUCAACUUGAACAGAUCAGUUUGUGUGGUGGCACAAGCUGUGUAGUCAAUAGGGUAAGAAUCCGCCUCUACCCUAUGACCAAGGUGCCUCCUCUGAGGGGGUCCGCUCGGUCCGGAACUGCUCCCCUCAUCGUCACCAACUCCUUCAGGGACCCCAAUCCUACCAAAGCUGGGGUUCUCACCAGAGCCCGACGCAGGUCCACCUCUAUUCCCUACAAGCUCUAGUUCAGGGGAGGGAGAAACAGCCAAGGGGUGUGGAUACUCAAGGAUAUCCCUACCGUGGGAGGGACCUAUACUACGGGAGGGUCCUACACUACUAGAGGGGCGUAAAAAAUCGGUGGGUAUCGACAAGUUAAGGUCUGAAUCCCCUGUUUCCUCGUCACUCUCAUCAGCAAUCAACUUCCUUUUCCGCAUCGACAUAUCAAAAUCCCAAAAGAAAACAAAGCAAAACUCGAGUAUACGGACACAAAAGGGGCAGCACAGAACCCAACCAACAACAACCAGAGAAGAAAUUAAGAGCUAUACCUGGAAUAAGCGGGCACUGAUAGCGCGGCUGUGACAGAAGAACGCCCAGUAAAUGGAUACUCCGGACGCGGGAAGUAUAAAAAAAAAAAAAAAAAUUCACAGAGGGGGCUGGUUAACGGUGGAGAAACGGAUAAACAAAGCAAUGAGGAUUUCAACCUAGGGAUUUGAAGUGAAAAGGGGAAAAAUAGAAGCAUUUAAGUGAUGAGGAUGCCAGCUCACUCACUACAUAUCGAGGGUGGAUAGCCCGUCGUUUCAAAUUUCAAAUACGAAGAGUCUGGAGAUGCCACGUCACUAACCGUUACAAGAGGCCAAGAUAGAUGUAAGCCCAGAUAUGCAAUGGACAUGUUCACUUAGGCCCAUGCUCAAGUCGGAGUCUCCCUAGAAGAAAAAUAGUACAUCAGGUCAGGCCCGUCCCAAUAAAUAGAGGACCAGAUGAGAAGCUCCCCGGGUUGGUGAGAUUUGACCAUCAGUUUCUACUCUUAACUCAUUUCACUCGCCAGACCAGAAACUGGGGGACUGGUGUUGAGUACAUAAAAGCCCCAGGUCGGCCAUGCUACUAUUUCUAUCCCGGCAUGGAUCACCUCAGCCAAAUGGUAUGAGCAGAACGCGGGAUAAACACGAGACAACCAGAGACGAUUACCGGCCAGGGUAAUGUACUGACCAGAAUCAUAUACCGAGCUGACACCAAUUCCCCAAAAAAGCGGGAACACGAUCCCACAGAAUCACGGUAGUUGCGCUUUUCCCAGAACCGUUGUGGGAGAUGCGAGAUCCCAUGUUUGCCCACAAUGUAGCAGUAAAAAUCCCAUGAGGGGCUACCACUACCCGAGAAAGGGGGGGAUGAAAGGUGAGUGAAAACGUGGGACAGCGGCUAUAAAAGAAGAAGAAACCGAUGAAGAAGGGACAGAAAAAAUUGAGAGAGGGAAAACGCUGCCAAAUUGCAAUCAGGCCAUUUUCUUACAAACUCCGAACAAUUUAGAAACCAUUUUAAGAUCUAAAUUGCACUGUUUUCCCGUAAACGCCUUGAGCUAACUUAGGCAUCGGAGGGUUUACGCCGGCAAAACCACCGGCGUCUCUGAUCCGUUUUUAGUGAGCGCAGGUCUAUUGAGAGAAAGGAAGACGAUUCCAAUCCCAGUGGUUUGAGCAACAGCAGAUAACACAAGCGUUGGUGAAAGAAUCUGAUCAGUCAAAGGCGUGCAGAUUUGAGGAAUCUGGUCGGUCAAAAGGCGAGCAGAUUUAAGCAUCAACAAGCAUCAUGAAAUGUUCAAGACAUGCUGAUAUCAAUCAUGGAGGUUGUCUUUUUACGAUUAGAUGUGAGUCCAAAAUCAGGACCCACAAUGCACACAAUGUGUCAAUUGAUUUUAAGAAAAUCCAGACAGUCAAAUUUUUCGUUUUCGUUUUUAUUUUCUUUUUUCUUUUGUAUUUUAUUUUCGUUUUUCGUUUUUGUUGAAUUAAACAUGACUUUUGAAACUUAUGAUGUUAGAAACCCCAUGCCUUAACAUUAAGAAACAGAAAUUGGAAAAUAGAGGUUGUCAUAAGAUAAAUUAAUAUUCAUUAACAUUAUGAGUUUCUACGUGCGAAAAGAGACAGCAAUACUUUCGGCGCAUUGUAAGAGCUGCCACUAGCAAGCCCAAUGGGCGUAGUUUUACAAAAUCGAACAACCUUAGUACUAAGUAUAUUGAACGGCUUCUUAUGCCCUUUUUUUUUCAUUUUCUUUUUAAUUCUGCGUACUACUAACUAUAUAAUCAUGAUCGGCUUCCUAUGCCUUUUUUUUCCUACUCAAAUACUUUUCAUAACUCCAAGUCUUCAAGUCUUCAAGCAACUAUUUGGCAGAAUAAAUCCAGAGGCCGAUCCAUCAGCGUUGGCACAGGAAGCUUCAGCUGGUUGAUUCUUGUAAAUGAGCUUCACAUCCUCCAAGCUAAUUCCACUGCAUGGAUUCUUCGAACUGCAAUCGAGCUUUACUCCAACUUCCGUUGCCGAAGUUCCAUGAAUAUCUUGAUAUAUAACAUCACUGAUUUUAACCCCUGAAGCCUAUUGAACAAGGGAAAAAAAAAUUUAUUGAGUUUUAUUUUAUUCACAUCAACGUUCAAAUAAUUACAUUUACAAACUUUAGAUAAAUAAAUAUCGUACCUGUCCAGGGCAAUUGUUGUUGUCAGGGCAGUAAUUUUGAUCAAUUAUGAUUGGAUUAUCGACAUUGUUCAUAAGAGCAUGUUGGAAAAGAAUGUUCCUGGCAAAUCCAUUGCUUGGUCUCCCCCAGGACUUAAUCCUCACUCCAUUUUUAGUGCCCGUAAAUGUCACAGCUGUUACUGUCACAUUUUGCACUCCAGCCUCUUGUUGCUCUUUGCCUAAGCUGCCAAUGCUGCAACAAAAUUACAAUAUCCAAUUUAAUCAGCACUAAAUAUUUAUACCACCAAAAAUAAAGAGAAAAAAAAAUUAUUAUGCUUUUUAAUUUUACCUAAUACCAUGGCCAGGGCCACAAGCGACAUUCUCAAUCCAUAAAUUGGUGGCGCCUGGGCCAACUGAUACACAAUCAUCACCGGUCCCAAUUUUUGAGUCCAAAAUUGUGACAGCACUUGAUGAUUGAACGUGAAUGCCAUCGGUGUUGGGGCUGUCACCGGAGGCCGAAACUUUGACCCCUUGUACUUUCACAUGGUUGCAUCCGUUGAUGACAAUAUGAAAUUUCUGGCUAUCUACGGAUGCUAAUCCGUUAAUCACAACGUUGUUUGAGUUGCUAAAGCGAAGUGUCUGCUCAUGUAUAUACAAAAGAAGGAUUAUUUACUCUAAUAAUUAAAGUAUAAAGCCAAUCAAUAUGACAAGCCAAAAGGCACUUGAUUUAUGACUGGAUAUAGGAUGAUAUUUCAACUUAAUUACCGUAGCGCCACUGGGGCAAUUACUAUUGUCUGACUUUUUACAAGCCCACAAGCCAGCACCUUGGCCAUCAAGAACGCCGCCAUUAAUAGAAACCCCAUUAACAUGCUCAAAUAAAAUCCAGUUUUCGGCAUUUCCAAUAACAUGAUAAUCAGCUGGAGCCACCAGAGUCCCGUCAAUACGUAUGGUAAUAUCAUUGUUCUUGCAUUGGCCCUGAAACACAGCAUUGUGUAGUAAGUACCUCCCCGGUGGCACGUAAAUGGUUGCGGCCUCCGCCGAGCCACAGGAUUUAGCCCAUGCAGCAAGAAAGGAUUUUGCUGAGUCAGUCCGGCCAUCGGGUCUGGCUCCAAAGCUCAGCACAUUGUAACUCAAGGGAAUUGCUAAAGAUGAACUAAAGAAGAGAAUCAAAAGAAAUGUUAAAAAACUAAUAGGCAAAGACGUUGAUGUUGACAUUGUUUCAAAGCUUAAAUUUACUGAUAGAAAUGAGAGAAAUAGAUUUGAGAUGUUGAGGAGUUGGUGUUAAGUUGAAAAGAUUUAAAUGGGUAUUUAUAGGAUUUGAAUGAACUGUAGAAAUGGCAAUAGCACUAACAGUGAAUGCAAUCUGCGCCGAAUUUUGGGAGUGAUUUUUGCGUUAACUAAUGCGAUCUUAAUUUACUACCCUUUAACCGAAAUUUGGAUGAUGUUUGAUGACAGAAGCAUCAAAUUCAUACAAAAGACAAGUGCAUAUCUAUAUCUGGUUUGGUAAGAUGGGAGAUUUCAAAGGUAGUUAAUAAAUUAACAGAAAAAAGUGCUUAUCCAUUUUCUGCUUUUCUGCUGCUAUCUAAAAUUAUGCCCGUAUGUUGCUUUUUUGAGAGAAUAAAUUAGACACAAAAUAAAUAUAUAAUAUUCAAAGUUCAGCUCUAGUUACAUAUGGAAAAUGAAUCCGGAGCGCAGUUCCACCAACAUCAACUAUUGAUUUUUAAGAAAAAUAUUAAAAAGCCACGCGAAAAAAUGAAAAUUUCAAUGAAAGUGGAUAAAAUGCGUUGCGAAUAUGGGUUAUGCAGCAAGACACAUCAGUGCUGACAUUUUUUAUACUAGAUUAAUGAAAUGUCAUAAAGUUUCAAAGAAAACAAAUAUUUUUUCUUAUUUUAUCAAAGAUUAUUCAAGUGGGAAGCAGUUUCAGACUUUCAGUCCACCGUGUGCAUUUUCGUUAAUGAUAUUAUUAUUUUCUUUUUAUUUAUUAUAACUAGCCGUAAUUUUGCUACUUUCGAAAUGGAUAUUUGACAUAAGUUCAACCUUUUUUUAUUUCUUUUGUUACAAUUUUGAUGCAUAUUACUGUUUGACUUGUUUCAAUUACUCAGAUUAAGCAAACAAUCAAGCCACAUUACUAGGUUAUCAAGAAAGAGCAGUUACCAGUUAGGUCCCUCUGCACGCCAAAUUCAACACCGAAGGGAUAAAUCCUAUGUCUCAGGUCAAAGACGUGACUUAUUUUAGUCAAUUGCUUUUUUAUUAAUCAAAAUUUAGCAGAAGUUAAUUAAUCGACUACAAGUUCACCACAUGUGGAUUUCAACUGCCCAACUGAAAAAAGGUUUAUGAGUGUUGACCAAAUGAUUUUUUUAUACAUUACUAGUUGUUUAAGGGAUUUAGUUUCGCAUGGUACCAUUAAUUCUUAAGAGUUAUUAGCUAACCCACUGGUAACUUCUAUUGAUGGUAUCAUUUUAAUAUUUUUAUUAAAAAGAGUUUGGAUUGUUGUGCGCGGAAUGGAAGUUUGGGAAGAAAACUCCUGAUAUUAUAUUAUCAUUUUAAUAUUCUUAUUGUUUUAAGUAUUUACGACAUCAAUUUAUGGUAAUAUUUUGCAGCAUUGGGAGUUUGGGGAAAGAUUUGAGUGAAGCUGGGGGGCAAAAUGUGACAUUUAUAGGUACACAAAAUGGACUAAGAAUAAAGUCAUGGAGGAGACCAAGCAGUGGUUUUGCCAGAAAUAUCCUUUUCCAACAUGCAGUCAUGAAGAAUGUCCAAAAUCCCAUCUUUAUUGAUCAAAAUUAUUGCCGUAAUAACGAAGGAUGCCCUGGCAAGGUGAGAUAUCAAAAGGAUAUUUAAUUAAACUUAAGUAACAUAUUGUAUUAUUGCAAUACACAUACCAAUUAGUGAUGUAAUUGGUGAUGUAACAAGUUUCAGGGAUUAGUGAUGUAACAUACCAGGAUAUCCAUGGAACAUCAGCAACAGAAGUACCUGUAAAUUUUGAUUGUAGUUCAAAGAACCCAUGCUCAAGGAUAAAAUUAGAAGACGUCAAGCUUACGUAUAAAAAUCAACCGGCGGAAGCAUCCUGUAUGCUGAUGGAUCUGCCUCUGGAUUAGUUCAGCCCACAAGUUGCUUGUAGUUGUCAAAAGCAUUUAUGCUUGUAAUAGCAUAGGGUUUAUUUGUUCCUUGAGCCUGUGGUGUUGCCAUCAGCAUUACUAUUGUAAAAAAUUUCAUUAACUAUUUUGGAUAUUCUUGUCACCAUAUUUAAUUGGUUCUAAAUUAAAUAUGAUUACUUUCUUUAAAUUGUGAAAUAUUGAGAUUUUGCAUUUUGAUUGGCUACAGAUGUUGCUUUUUUUUUUUUUUUUUUAAUGGUUCUCGAGUGAAAGUAAAAGUUGUUGAAGGAAGAAACAGAAUAAUCCUGAUAAUUAAAAAUAUUGGAAAUCUCAAUUUUAAAAUCCAAAAAUUGGAAUAGAAUAGCCGUUUAUAUUUUUUUCGAGAAACACUUAGAUGCGACAACUGCAAUAAAAUUUUUUAAUAAAUGUUUGACAUGUGUUUCAAGUGAAUUUUAUCUUUCUAUUAUGAUUAAUCAACUCCUGAAAAAGAAAAUAUAUAAAUGUUAUUGGAUGGGCACAUCGAUAACUGAGGUGCACCCUCCCAAUGUAAGUACACUCUGUCAAACUUUAAAAUUUUGAAAAGGGAAAAAGUCACUAACACCCCCAAUGUUUGUUUAAAUAAUCAAACAGAUGCUUUUAGUUUCAUAAAUAGUCACCGAAAUCCCCUUAAUUUCAUAAAUGAUUAUUAUACCCUUUUAUUAUAACAUCUCAAAUAAAUAUAAAUUUAGUAAUAAGAUAAAAGGUAAUAAAUAAAUAUCAUAUGAUACAAAUUAAAUAUUCUAAUAAGUAUAAUUAUUAAAAUAACAUGUAUAAUGAAAAUUAUUUUUAAUAUUAAGUUAUUAUUAGUCUAUCCCAACAGAUUUUAUUAAUUAAAAUAUAUGAAUCCAAAAAUUGACUUUAAGAUUUAUAGUAAUAUAGAGAUAAUUAAAAACUAUAUUGUCAAUAAAAUAAUAUAAAUUUUAUAAAUAACUGUGAAUGUUAGUAUAAUUAUUUUAAUAUUAUUAUAAUGUCAAAUAUAUUUUAUUAUUAUGAAAAGAAUAUGACAGAUUAAUAAUGUUAGAAUAACUUUUCUAACAUUCAAAAUAUUUUAAAAAAUUUAUCUUAUUUUAUAUAUUUAUCAUACAUGUUUAUUUAAAGUCAAUUAUUGAGUUGCUGUAAUUAAGUAUUUAAUAGUUAAAAAAGAGUCUAUGCAACAAUUUAUGAUAUUAAGGAGAUUUGUUUAAUCAUUUAAGUAAACUUUAGGGGUGUGGAUGCCUUUCCCCUUGAUUUUUGACUUGUUAAAUUUUUAAUUUUUUUAAAAAGCAACCUUCCUAAAGUGAGAAAUUUAUUAAAUAAAGAAGAAAGAGAAAAAUAGUUUAGAGGAUAGAGUGAGCCUUACCUCUUAAAAAUUACCAUCGUUCUAGAAUAAGAAAAUAUACAUAAAAUAUAAUAGAAAAAAUAUAUAUUAAUAUAAAAUAACCAUCCUAAAUGAAACAAGCCAAUUAACUGAAUCUAUAAUUGGAGAAGCCAUCAGUCUAUAAAGAAAGAAACUUCCGAAUGACCAUAGGAGGAUCUCCCAAAUUCGCAAGACAAUCAGUAACACUGUAAUUCUUCCUAGAAGUGUGAUAACAUUGGAACAACAUGGGAGAAUAAAUUAAGUUUUGCAGUUGAUCAAGGGGCAGGCGAAGACAAUGAACAACAACCAAAUAGCUACAUUCUAACCAAAGCCAAAAACAAAUUAAUUAUAUAAUCGCUCCCCCCAAUUGGCAUGUAGAGGCUUAUAUACCUUGUGGUUUUAGCUCCACGCUUUAUCUUUAUUGAGUCCGAGCGUUUAGAUCAACCCCAUGUGUGUCAUGGGAGUAGAAUUUGUCAUUGUUGUGAGUAGAUCUCUUCUUCCAUGAAGAAAUUAAAUUUUUCAGGUGGAUAGCCAUAAGCUUUCAGAUGGGCACUAACAAAGCAAGUCUUUGACGGACUUCUUGUGCGACUUUGAAUAGAUUUCUAUUUGGCCGUUCAACAUAAUCAACAAUUACGGUACACCCCUGCCCUUAAUGUAAGGUUUUAAAAGAGUAGUGUAAUAAUUUAUAAUUACAUCAAACACCCGGCAAAAACAUGUAAUGAGGUAGGUUUAACCUAAAUUAAUUUUUAGCCCCCUACUGCUACGAAAUUCGAAUUAAAGUGACAGUUAAGUGAAAUUGUUUAAAAAUUGAACUACUCGGUUCAAUUUCUUAUUGAUGUAGGACGGUUGAGUGGGAUAAGUAGGGUACUUUCCUGAGGUCAUAAUUUGGGCUACAUGUAUCCCUUUUUUUACAUAUAAUAUACCGUUUCGAAAUUUAUGACAAGAUGAACCAAACCCAAAAUUAUCUUCUAGUUCUGCCCUGCCGUCAAACCAAUAAUUGUGAACAAAAAAGUUGAAAUAAUUAGUAAAAUAGUCAUUUGAUUUUUUGUUUGAAUGUUACAUAAAUGAGGUUGAACUGAUGCAUGGUUAUAUAUAAUAUCAAGGUUUGCUUUCUUUAUCCAUACUAAUUUCUUUGAAUUCUUAUUAAUUAAUAAGGAAUCUUCCGUUCAAAACUUUAAACUUCAAUUUAUAAUUUGAGGCAUUAUUUUUUAUGUGUUAACUUAUGAAUUAUGUCUGUUACUUUCGUAUUAAGAUUUAUCCAUUGUUAAUUUAUUAAUUAUGAUUAUCAAUUUUCAAGCAUAAUUUAGGUUUUUGUAUAUGAUUGAAUUAGAUGGUGUAAUAUAUAAUUUUUUUGGUAUUUUCAUUCAUUUAAGAUUUGAAUAGCAUUUACUUUAUUUUUAGAGCAAUAUUUUUUUUUAUAUACAUUUUGGCAACCCCAAAUCAAAAUCUUGGUUCCGGCCUAGUCUCACGGAAUCCCCCACCCCCAAACAAGCAAAGAAUUCAUGAAUACACAGUAAAAUUAUAUCAUCACCCCUUUUAGCCUAUCGCAUGAACAACGAGUUGAUGCCAGGAUGAACCGUUCAAUUCAUCAUAUUUUUGUGUUUGGGCAAGUUUUAUAUGUAGCGAUUAAAGGAGAAGAGAUGAGGAGUAUGCACGCUUUGUGCAAUUGGUAUAGGAAUUUAGAGAAACGACAAUGCUCAAAUGCCAAAUAUGUUUUAUCACUUUAUUUUUCACGACCUGAGAAACGUGAUGCACUAAUGAAAACCAAAUCAGCAAUGAAUAUUAUUGGGUUGAACAUUACUAUAAUCUGAUCACAAGCAGUUUUAGCAUCGAGUUUAAACUCACCUGCUCUGCAUUUUUGUUCACAAAUAAAAGAGAGCUUGUUGCGAUUCGUGCAUGAUAAUAUUCUGCCCUAGAUAGAGACAAAAGGUUGGCUUUUUGUAUCGCUUCCCCACAUACAGCGCCAAAUGUUGAUGCCAAAAUCCAGAUGAGUCGGUUAGUGACUCGAUCUCCGAUCCUUGCAUCAACAUUAAAUUUGUUUGGUGGGAAGUUGCUGGUCGAUCUCCAAGAAAAUCCUCCGACUAUGAUCAGAACAUUCAUGAGCUGUUGAUCAGUGAACACCAUGAGCACAUAAUUGAUGACCAGAUAACCAAUAAGCAAAUGAUCUAUGAGCAGAUAACCCGCAAGCCUACAAGCACAAAGAACAGUCAGGGCGCGCCAGAAGUUUUUCCGGUGAAAACCCUCCAACAUUCAAGUCAGCGAUUUGGGUCUACUUGGAAAAACCCAUACCAUAAUUCACGUGGCUUAAUUAUGAUUGCUUUAAACAAAAAGCUUUUAAGUAAAUUCAAAGGAAAAGAAUUGAAAAUAAUUAAUCUUAAAGAAAUAAUAAGCGAAAGAGAAAUUUUCCAGUGGUAGAGAGAGAAAAAGAUCCAAUGGGUUUAGUCACCCACAAAGAGAGAAAGAAAAAAAAAAGAAUCCACUCCUAGUAUUCUUUUUCCCAAGAUUUUUAUAGGAAAUUAUAGCGGUUUUUAUCCUCUUCCCUAUAAUUCCCAUGACAACUACUAAUUUUCAAUCUCACUAAGAAUAUGGUCCCUAAUAUUUUGGGGAAAAUAAGUGAUAUUUGUUUUGACUGAGUCGUACUUCCUAGUAACAUCCUGGUCGAGAUGAUCUGGUCGAGGUCAUCAAAUAAUCUCCUGGUCGAGGUGAUGUGGUCGAGAUGACCAAAUAACAUCCUGGUCAAGGUGAUGUGCUCGAGAUGACCAAAUAACAUCCUGGUCGAGGUGAUGUGCUCAAGGUCACCAAACAACAUCCUGGUCCAGGUGUUGCUCACUUUUUACUUAGAGGAGAGCAUGAUAAUGUAUGAGCAAACACCCUAUCUUGGUCACCUUAUUUUAUUCCCCAAACACCAGUCUCUUAGUUUUUAGUAUUGAGAGUGAAACGAAACAAGACUGGAAACUAUAAAGUUUAUAGUUUUUUACAAACUUAAAACCUUAAGCAGCUUAUUUUGCUUCCCUUGCUUCCCUUGCUGACCAUACCAUGGUUGAGCAUGUAUCAUUAGUUUAAAGUUUUAUGCCUUAUCUAGAGCAAGUUUCAAGACUUUUAACCUUACAUUGACUUAAGCAAUUUUAAGCUACUCUUAUUAGUUUAAGGUCUUAUGCCUUACCUAAAAUAGGCUUUAAGGCCUCUAACCUUGCACUUGCUUAAGGUCUUAUGCCUUACCCAGAAUAGGCUUUAAGGCUUCUAAUCUUGUAUUGACUUAAGCAACUUUAAACAAUUCCUGUCAAUUUAAGGAUUUAUACCUUACCUAGAGCAGGUUUAAAGGCUUUUAAUCUUCUAUUGAUUCUCUUUGCUUUUUCUAAUGCCUUAUAAAAUAUUAAUAAAUUUCAUUUAUAAACUUGGCUUCUCAACGCUAGCCUAGCUCUCCUUUCGUAGAUCAUUCUCAUAUUGAGCAACUUUCAAGAAAUCAAGUUAACUAACUAAUACCGUUAGCCCUAAUAUAAGCACAAUCAAUUUAAUGAAUAUAAGGUAUCCUCAUCUCACAUAGCAGGACUUAGAGAAAUAAUUAAAUUUUUAUUGAAAAAACUGCUUGUACAUAUAACUUUUGACCUGUUUUGAUUCCUGCAAAUGUGUGCCUUCAAUGUGCUCUUAUUUGAGGUUUUUGCUUUAAAUCCUUAAAUAUGGAUUUGCUCUGCAAACUGAUCAGCUAUAAUAGACCAUCAAAAAUUUAAUUUCUGACCUAUAACUUAUAACUUGUCCAGAAAAUAGCUCAGCAUUUACAACUUGUGCUUUAGCUAUUUAUAUAUGUUUGGGCCUUUGAUGGAUAAACAGCCUUGGUGUUUUAUUACCAUCUAUAAUAUUUGGUUAGCAAUAUUAUUAAAGACCUUUGCUAAAGGUACAGAGCAACAUUUACUAAUACUAUGGAUAUUGAAAUUUAUAUAUAAAAUAAAUCAUAUUAUGUAAAAUAUGUAGUCAACAAAUGAAUGGUAACAUAAAAGUUUAAGCAAAGUCAUAUCACUAUAUCAAGGAGAUAUGAUCUCAUGCUAACCCAAGUUCUAUCAAUCCUUUGGUCAAGCACGCUGUGUGCCAAUAUAUGACUAUGCUAUAUAUUCUAUAAUAUGUAAUCUUAACUAUUUUCUAUUAAUGACUUAAUAAGUCAAAACCCCAUCCAUCAAAUUUUUGAAGUCAAGUAGUGGAUUUAAAGGAUAAAUAUAAAACUGAGGUUUUAGAACAAAUGCACCUCAGAUUGUGCUUUGCAUUAUUUCAUUGGUACUUCAUUAAACAAAUCCCGAGCUUGACUCUACUUUGCUCCCUUCUUAGAAUUAUUCUUGUAGUACUGGAUUUUAGUCCUUGGCUCCUAGACAGUGUUCUUUUGAGCGUCACUCCCUUCAAUUUCAAUUGCUACCUUUGCUUUUCAAUCCAAUUAAUCUCACCAUCGUGAGUGUUCUUCAGUAGAUUCCUGAGCUUGUUCCUUAGAAUUUGAGGCUGCGAAAUUUUUUCAAUUUUGUCAGUUAUUUCGUCGAACAUUUGUUGUGUGUGAUCUCGUAUCACCACUUUUAACAAAUAUCCUCUGACACUUGUUUCCAAAAUCGUAAAAAACCAUAUCUCUGCACCAAAUUAGUAGCCAAAUCUUUAUUUUAAAAGAAUUAAUAUAUAGCAAAUAUGCCAAAACCGUGGCACAAUCCAAUUGUGAGUCUUGCAUUUAUAAAGUUAUUAGAUCAUGUGCAUGUGCCAUCAUGUUUAAAGUAACUAAGAUCUUAAUUUGUCUAAGCUUGAAAUAUGUGCAGAAUUUUAUGGCAAGCACAUGAUCUGGAGAGAAGUUUGACUAUAAAGCAACUAGCAUUGGAAUUCAACAUUUCUCAAAUUCAUGCUUCUCAACCAAUUUCUAAUUAUUAUGAAAGUUAAAUUUCUCAAGUCGGUGUCAUGUGAAUAUGCAAGUUUACCAAUACGGAAACAAAUUCAAACUAUACAAAGGCUGUGGCAUGUGUAAUUGAUCAUUCAAAUGCACUAUAUCAGACACAAAGAUGAGUAAAUUGAAAGUAAUCACAUCAAUUUAAUAGAAAAUACAAGCAGAAAUGAAAAUUGUGAGAUAGAUUUUACCGAUCUCAAGUUCAUGAAUGUCAACAUUGGUUUAAUUUUUACUGAUUUGAUUCAUUUCUUUUUCACGUGAAUCCAAAAUAAAAGAGAGCUUGUUGCGAUUCGUGCAUGAUAAUAUUCUGCCCUAGAUAGAGACAAAAGGUUGGCUUUUUGUAUCGAUUCCCCACAUACAGCGCCAAAUGUUGAUGCCAAAAUCUGGAUGAGUUGGUUAGUGACUUGAUCUCUGAUCCUUGCAUCAACAUUAAAUUUGUUUGGUUGGAAGUUGCUGGUCGAACUCCAAGAAGAUCCUCCGAUUAUGAGCAGAACAUUCAUGAGCUGUUGAUCAAUGAGCACCAUGAGCACAUAAUUGAUGAGCAGAUAACCAAUAAGCAAAUGAUCCAUGAGAGGAUAACCCGCAAGCCUGCGAGCGCAAAGAACAGUUAGGGGGCGCCAGAAGUUUUUUCGGCAAAAACCCUCCAACGCUCAAGUCAGCGAUUUGGGUCUACUUGGAAAAACCCUUACCACAAUUCACGUGGCUUAAUUAUGAUUGCUUUAAACAAAAAGCUUUUAAGUAAAUUCAAAGGAAAAGAAUUAAAAAUAAUUAAUCUUAAAGAAAUCAUAAGCGAAAGAGAAAUUUUCCAAUAGUAGAGAGAGAAACAUAUCCAAUGGGUUUAGUCGCCCAGAGAGAUAGGGAGAGAAAAAAGAAUCCUCUUCUAGUAUUCUUUUGCCCAAGAUUUUUAUAGGAAAUUAUAGUGGUUUUUAUCCUCUUCCCUAUAAUUCUCAAAAAAACUACUAAUUUUCAACCCACUAACAAUAUGGUCCCUAAUAUUUCGUGGAAAAUAAGUGAUAUUUGUUUUGACUGAGUCGUACUUCCUAGUAACAUCCUGGUCGAGAUGAUCUGCUCGAGGUCAUCAAAUAAUCUCCUGGUCGAGGUGCUGUGGUCGAGAUGACCAAAUAACAUCCUGGUCGAGGUGAUAUGCUCGAGAUGACCAAAUAAUAUCCUGGUCGAGGUGAUGUCCUCGAGGUCACCAAACAACAUCCUGGUCGAGGUGAUGUGCUCGAGAUGACCAAAUAAUAUCCUGGUCGAGGUGAUGUCCUCGAGGUCACCAAACAACAUCCUGGUCGAGGUGUUGCUCACUUUUUACUUAGAGGAGAGCACGAUAAUGUAUGAGCAAACACCCUAUCUUGGUCACCUUAUUUUAUUCCCUAAACACCUAUCUUGAUAAAUUAGUAAUAUUUAAGGUUUUUAUAAAAGGGGCCCAUAAACCUAAUUUUAUUAUAAAAGUACUUCUAAGCAUGUCUGUGUCCAUUGCCCAUGAAUUGGGCUCAUUAUAUAUUGAUAUUAAUUCCUUUAUAUCCUUGUGAGAACUGAAAACCUCACAUAUAUCAAAAUGAGCGACAUGGCAGCAGUGUCGUCAUUAAAUCUUGGAGAUUAAUCCACAUUAUUUGUAUUUUUUUUCCAUCGAGAUAUCCUCCUAGAGAAGCGGAAAUUAUCUAAAGGAUAGUGUGCUUUGUGCACUCCUUGAUGAAUAUGGUUGCUGGUGGAUGAACAGUGUCUGUGAAUAGGGACGUAAACAGUAUCAACAACUACUACUUAUGGAGUUCUUUUCUUCAUGUUGAGAUUGAUGGUUCGAUAGAUUUUGGAAUUCAAAGAUGCAAUAUUGACUCAUAUUUCCAACACCAAAAACUUGGCAAUGCACCCAUGCAUGUAGCCCUCGGUACACCAAUUAAAGCAUGAAUAAUUGCAACAUUUGUCUGUGUGAUGAGUGUACAUUGCUGACAUUAACUCGUGCUAAAAGUACUUCUAAAUACGCCUGUGGCCAUUGUAAUGUUGAUUUCUUUAUAUCCUUAUAAGAACUGAGAACCAUCAUAUACUAAAAUGAGUGAUGUGGCAACAUAGCUAGCCUAACAAAAUAUGAUACAAUAAUUUCCUCAAUUUUGUGUUAAAUAGUAAAAAAGAACGAACAAUCAUUGAAAUUUAAAUUGAAAUUGAAAUUGAGGUAAUUACUAUGUUAUUGUGCUAUUCAAAAUAAAAAUGUCUUACAUAUCUUUUUAUCAUGAAGAUUUUAGAAUAUGUCUCAUGUUGUAAUAAAACCAUAUCUAAAACAUAUAUUAUUGCAACAAUUAAACUUUAUAUUUUAUCAUUACACGAUCAUUUUCAGAAUAAAUAAAAAUUGUUUUCUAUCAUUGAACUCACAUGGCUUGCUGUGAUUGAUUGACUUGUAAGCUAACUCGUAAAUGAUAUUUUGCAUGUGGAAGCCCCCCCAACCCCCUUGCAUGGGAUGCAUGAAGAACGUAAUCGUAUGGGGUCGGGGGAACUCUUUUUGUAACACCUCAAUUCCACUAACAACGUAUUAUGGUGAAAUUGAAGGGAAACUGCAUUUCAUCAUUCUCAUUUAUAAAACCUUCAAAAUAAUACCCAACAGCAAAUGUUCUAAACCUCAAAAAGAAUAAUGAAAUAACGUAUUCUCAAAUAAAUAUCAUCCCAAAGGAAGCUAAAAUAUUCAUAACUUGUUAACGUAAUAUUAUUCCCCAAAAGGAGCCGAGCUCUUAUUCUUCCUAUUAAGACCAUAAGCUCAAAUUAUCUAACUCUAUCUGCAAAGAUGUGGUAACGAGGGGUGAGCCGUCAACUCAGUAAGUAUUUCAUGCACAAUACUAAAAAUCAUUAAAAUAUAAUUGAUUGAAUUUUGUAAAUAUGCAUAAUAAUAAGGAAAAUUACCUUUGUAAAUCAUCAUUUAGCAAAAAUAAAUCACAAUAAAGUCAUGCAAAUACUUUGAACAUAACAAUAACAUUUGAAACACAUAAAACAUAAUUAGCUUAUGCCACAUAGUAUCACCUGUAGACCCGGUGACACGACCAUAUAACAUUAUUCAGGGUACUAUACCUCGCAGGAAUUAUUAACAUUAACAUCAUAUGUGCACAAAAUCCGGCUAGCCUUCUAUAACAUAACAUAAUAUAACAUCACCAUGGACAAUGAGCCAAAUCAUUUAAAUUUAUCCUUGAAUUUUUAAUCAUUUGUAAGCUUCCAUAAAUUACAUUUAAAUAAUUGAUAAUUAUUUCAAAGUAUUUGACUUAAAAAUAUUUUAAUAAAGGUUUCCAUUUUUAAGACAAUUUAUUACACAAGUAUUUAAUAAAUAAAGUAUUGUUGUACAUAAUUUUAAAAAAAAAGAUUUUUACUUAACAAAAUAUUAUAGUAGAGUUAAACAAAUCAGUUUCAUAUACUUUUCAUUCAACAUGAUACAUUUUAUUAGUGAAAUAUAUGUAUCAUACAUGAAUCUACUUACGUCGAUCCUCAGCAAUAAAAAAAUAGUAACCUCAACCACAAGCUUACUCUCGUCCUAAAACAUCAAGACAUAUUCUUAUCAAUAUUAUUACUCAUUUUGACCUUGAUAUAAAUCUAACAUGAUCAAGUCUAAUCAUAAGCACUAAAUCAUCAAAGCUAUCUAAACCUGACCAUCCUAUACAUGCUGAUUUUUACCAAGCUAAUCAUAUGUUGGAAAAUUGUAAAACUUAUAAAAAGAAACUAUAAACGUGUGUAGCAUUUCAUAUAAAAAUUCAAAAAAAAUGAAUAAAAGUCAGAAACAUAAUGCAAAAGAAUUUUACAUGUAAAUAUCCACACUGUCCAACAAUGAUAAAAACAAAGGUUGCCAAAUUAGAAAAUUUGUAAAAUAGUUAAUAAAACUCAUGGAAAUUAGACCACUUGAGUUUACAAUAGUAGAAAUAUCAAGAAACAAUACAUCAAAUUUCUAGAAUUUUUCAAGAUGUAAAACUGUUUUAAACAAACUUAUAUUAAGAGACCAGUAAACCUAUCCAGAAACUUUUAGGUUUGUGUUUUGCACUUCAAAAAUUCAUAACUUAAUGUUAACUCAAUGAAGAUUAGUCAAAUAAACUUUAAAUCAUAGAGGAUUCACAAUAUUAUAUGAAUAUAAUUUUAUAAGUCAUUAUAAAACCUUUUAAUAAGCCAACCCAAUUUUACCAUCAGCCAUUGCAAUUUUGGAAUGCAAUCUCCAAAAUUACAGCAGCUCAACAUAACGAUUUUUAAUAAUUUUUAUACUCAACCAAAAAUUAUGAAAUUAAACAUAUGGUAAAUAGAUAUAAUGAGGAUUAGACAAAGAAAUCAACAUUAUAUUUAGAGAUCAUUUGUGUAGUCAGAAAUAUCCAUGAAUGCAAACAUGCUGCUGAAAAUUAGAAUUUUCCCGCACCACUGUUCAAAUUCUGAAAAUUCACAAUAAAUUGGUUACUUGGAAUCUCUUUCCACAAAAUACAUCAUUGAAAACCUAAAAUUCGUGCAGAAAUUAAAUAAAAAAUAAAGGAAAAAUAGUAAUCAAAUCACACUGCUCAUGCCUCAUGAUGCCUAUCUAGUUAUUUAUGAUAAAGAGAACAAGUAUUAGAGAGUAUGCAUUAAAGAAAGAUAAAUGCCUCAAAAUUUCUUUCAAAUUGCAUAAAAGAAAACCUUAGAAUUCUUUGCUUUUAUAUGUUUCUUUGAUUAAAGAGUUUUAAAUUGUAGUGAUAUAUGAAGAGUUGAAGUUUAAUAAAAAUAUUGCUUUUAUAAAAAAAUUUAUAUGAUAAAGAUAAUAAUCCCUUAUAAUUUAUUUUUUAAAAAUAAAUAAAAAGAAAAAGAAUUAUACCUUAUCUCAAUUAAUGCUAAUUAAAAUAAAUUCACACAAAUAAAAGACAAAAAAUUAAAUAGAUAAACAUAAAUAAAUUCAAACAAACAAGGGACUAGUGUUACACUUUUGUUAAAAGUUUAUUCUUUUUUAUGCUAAUCUAUUACAAGCAAUGACUAUGACGGCGAUAUAAUUGAUUAAUUAAUAUGGAAUGAGCAGAAAGGAGAGAAAAGCAAUUAAGCAAUGAACAUCUAGAGACUAGAGGGCCUUUUUCUUCUUCUUCCUCCGCUUCCCCCCGCACACCCCCCCCCCCCCCCCAAACUGCAGUCAUAAUUAAAAAGAACCGCCGAUUACUUCUCCAUUUUUCGCUCCACAUAUGAAGUCCUAGGCUCCAAGUCAUGUUGCACCUUCUAAAAUUUUAAAGAAGUGUUUGUUAUAACUUUUCGCAGAGUGUCACAAUUCUUUUUCUAAAUAAUUAAAAUAUAUUAAUUGAAUUUGUUACAUAAAUAUUAUUCUUGCUAAAAAGAACAAAAUAACAAUACAACAAACUUGCACCCAUCAUGCCAUGCUCUGAAGAGUCAACAGUGUAGACAAUGUUGGGAUUAUAUGCUCUUUUAAAGCGUAUUAAUUUAUUUUUUGAUUAAUAAAAUAUUUGAGAUAUUUUCAAUUGCAUAAAUAUAUAUUGAAUAAGGUCCGUUUAAUCAUAUUAUAUGUAUUUAUGUGAUCAUCAUAUGGAUUCACAGAAGACAUAAAUACAAGUUAUCUUAUGAUUAAAUAAAUUUACUUCGCAGUUGAUAAAUAAAGUUGGGCGCUCUAUUUAUGUUUAGACUAUAGUAAAUUCAUUGAAUGAUUUGUCUUAAUCGUAUAUGAAUUUACUGAUGUAGUUUGACUACAUUGAGCUGGAUCACAUAUGAGAUUUAAUUAACCUUGAAAUGAUUGUCAGACUUAUUAAAUCUUGUAGGCUUUGAUUUUACUGUAAUCUUAAUCUUGAGUUAGUUAUGAUUUCAUGAUUGUAAUUGUUAUUCCAUUUGAGUUACCAAUGGGCACGACACAUACUUGUGGUCAAGAUUACCCGGUAUCUUGGUGGGAGCAAUUAUGAGUAUUGGAGUUAUAUAUUAACAAUAUAGAAUUUGUAUAACACAUCUCUUGAUGGGUUUUCGGCACUUGAUCAUAGAAUUCUCUGGCCAGAGUGUGUCAACAUAUUUAGUAUGUUGAAAAUGAUCAUUAGAGAAAACCAGUACGUAUCAAGGAACAAGAUGCAAUUAAAUCGAAUGGAUAGUUGAGAUAUCGAUUUAAUUAACGAUGUGGUACAAAGGAUUAUGUAGUAAAGAAAUUAAUGUGGCUUCGGAUGAAUUAUUAUUCGAACAUACAAUUAUGGAGGUCAAUUCCAAUCUUAUAGUGGAGUAGAGUUGGAAUUAAAUGAUUAGACUUGUUUAAUUACAGGAUUAAUUGUUGUAGCCAUUAUUGUAUGUUCCCAAAUGAUCCUCGGGUUAGCUCAUUUAAUUGACUGCGCCACUACUGGAUUAAUAAGCAAGAAAACUAGCUAUUUAGGUCAAAAGCCUAAAUAUAUCAUUUAGUGGGAGGCUCCAUUUAAUAUACUUGUAUCUAAGGGACUUUAUGUUAUUUUACAAGAUGACCCCCCUAUAGAAAAAGCAAGUAAUGUGGCUUUUGAUUUUCAUUAUUUAGAGCCUAGGCUUUCACUAAAGGGAGAUAUAAAAAGGCUUAUUUUCUUUAAAGAAAAGUGAGAGCAGUACUUUAUAUAGAUCAAAGAAAAAGAUUUUUCUCUCUAUUGUUGAGAGAAAAAUUUUCUCGUGCUAGUUGUUUUGGUAGUGAUAAAGGCGCCCACACGUCAAGUACAAAUCAAACCUGAGUCAUAACUUGGAAGAUCAUUGGUGACAGUUUGUGAUCUAACUAGCGUGGUGGUGAUGGAUCGUGAUCUAACAGGCGUGGGGGUGACGGAUUGUGAUCUGGAGCCUAAAUCACUUCAGCGAAAAAAGCCAAAUCGAAUUUUCAAGGUACGAUUUCUGGAUUAUAUAUUCUUAUAUAUUGUAUGAGAGCGAUCCUAAAAAGUUUUUUAAAAAAAUUAAAAAAACUCAUUUUUCUCCAACAAUUGGCAUCAAAGCCAUCUCAUAUUAAUAUAUAAGAAUAUUGUAUGAAAUCAAUCUUGAAAUUUAUGUAUUAGAGUGGCAUAAUUUAUUCAGAUAUAUAUUAUUUGUUUAAUAUAUGAAUAAAACAUGUUUUGUUUUGUCUUAAUUCAUGGUUAGAUUCUUUGCUGUAUUUUUCCUUUGGAUCUGUAACAAGAGGGGUGGUUUAUUAUCACCAUAUUUCCCUCUUGAUUUAGUUACAUGUCAUUCAUUAAUUAUGAAUCUUAUUAUAUUGUUUGUAAUUUGCAAAUGCUUAAAUAAUAUUGGAUAUCAUCUAGAUAAUAUUAUAGGAAGCAUGCAAUUAACAAUAUGUAUGUUUUAAAAAAGGUAAAACCAAUUUUAAAAUAUUGAGUGGGAGAGGGAAAAUUCAAUAUAAUUUUUCCCACGGGCUCCAUUGUUAGUUCAAUAAUAAAAUUAUAUAUAUACCUCAACUUCAUGAUAUGGUGAUACUCCCUACGGAGGGUAUAUAUAUUAGAUAUUUUAUUUGAUGAACUUCUUCAAAGAUAAAUUGAAAUAUUUUUAAUCAAUUGUUCAUCCCAACGGUGACUAUUGAUAUGAAAAAUACGUAGAUUGAAACAAUGGUUAUACACUCAACUAAAAAUUGUUAUUAAACGAAGCUCUGUUAACAAAUUUAGGCCCAAAGGGAUAACUAUAAUCCAAUGGAUAAUUGGGUCUAGUAAGUGUAGACAUGACUUCCCCAACGGAUAGCUUGUCAAAGCGGUACUAGAUUAUCGUUACAAUAAAUUAAAAUGCAUUUAUGGUUUUUUUUCAUUUUUUUCAUUUAUUGUGAAUAUUGUUUCAAAGUAUUUAUGCAUGUCUAUUUUGUUUUUCAGAAAAUUUCUUCCAUCAACCCAUUAUUAAUUAUCCUUGUUAAAAAUGAACUCACUGGCGAAAAUUAUUUAGAUUGGAAACGCAAUCUAUUUAAUAUUCUCACUGCUAAAGGCUGCAAAUAUGUGUUGACCCAGCCAUGCCCUCUAGAACCAACGUUAUACGAUUAUAGAAAUCAGAGGGAGCCUUAUGAGAAAUGGUACGAAGCCAACACAAUGGCUAAGCGCUAUAUAUUAGCUUUGAUUUCUGUGGAACUGCAUAAGAAACAUCGGAGCAUGGAAACAACCACUGAAAUAAUGGCUAGUCUUCAGCAGAUGUUUGGGCAAAAUACUCAUUUUGCCAAAGAAGCAGCAUUAAAACGUAUUACGGAUACUAAGAUGGAAGAAGGUACAAGAGUUCGUGAUCAUGUCCUCAAAAUGAUGGACUAUUUGAAUGAGGUAGAGAUUCAUAGUGUUCAAAUCAAUGAUAAAUCAAAUAUUAACAUGGUGAUUGAAUUUUUACCUGAUACAUUCAAAGAGUUUAAGGUCAGCUAUAUCUUAAACAAUAAAUAUAUGACCUUAAUUGAAUUAAUGCACAAACUACAUGCUAUAGAAGAAUUUUAUCAUAGCAGAAAACUUCCUGAAAAAGGAUUCUCUUCGAGGCUUAAGUUGAAAGAGAAGAAUGAGCAAGAAAGAGUUGGGAUCGGCAAACUGUCCACUAAAAGAAGUGGCAAGCCAAAAGGCAAGUGUUAUAAUUGUGGACAGAAGGGUCACUGGAAGAAAGAUUAUCCUGAGAUUAUUAAAAUCAGGUAAAGGAAAUCUUUAAGCUUCCUAAUUAGUUCAAAUUUCUAUUGAUUCAUACAAUAGUGAAUUCUGAGAUAACUAAUCUUAUUUGUAAUUCAUUUAUUUGGUUUUCAGGAAACCAAGAGAUUAAGUGAAGAAAGCUUCAAACAGCAGUUGAGGAUAUGCUAGUUUAUAUCAAUUGAAAGGAUAGAUCAAUUUUACAAGACUUUAGUUUUGAUAUUUGUAUUUAUUUUUCCAAAUAUUAGAGGAAUUUAAUUUCGGUGGCUUGUUUUAAUAAACAGGAGUACACUGUUAUUUUUGGAUCCUCUAUUUAUUACUUAUUUUGGUUAUUUAUAAAGACAAUUUAUAUCAUAUAAGUCCAUUGAUCUAUUCCAAGCAAGAUAUAAUGAUAAAGAGUAUAUGCAUUUAUCUAAGAAAAGAAAUGUUUCUUCUAACCAAAAUCACCUCUGAUAUUUAUGCUUAAGUCAUAUAAACUAUAAUAAGAUUUUAAGAAAAUGAUUAAUGAUAAGAUUGAUCAUUGUAACUCUGUAAAUCUUAUUUAGAAAAGCAAUAUGACGAGGAUGCUCUUUUUGAGCUAAAAGCAUAACAUUGUAUUGGAUGAUUUAGCGCAUACAAAUGUAUACAGAUUAAUCAGUUUACAUGUUAUAAGAGGUUAUGAGUAUUCUAUCAAUCUUGUUGAUGAAUAUUCAUUUUAUUUAUGUUUGUCUAAAUGUGUCAUGAUUCCAUUGCUUUUGAAAUUCAAAAGAGUACGUGGAUAAGACAGAAGCAAUUAGACAGGAACGUAAAAGAACUUCGAUAUGAUCGAAACAAAAAAUAUCUCUAUGGAGAAUUCAAGCACUAUUUGGUUGUCAAAGAACACUAUGAUGGAGGUGUUAAACAAUGCAGCAAAGUAGUGGCAUCAUUGAAGAAAAUUCCAUAAAUCAACAUUCAAAAGGUUUGAGUUUUCUCUUACAAGUCAAAAGUGCAGAGUGUUUAUUUUAAGGACAAAGCCAAAUUGCCUAGCCACCAUGAUGAGAAAUUAUUCAUCCGUAAAGUGCCAAAAAUUGAGAUGAAGAAUAUGGUUGGAUCAAUGGAGAAUUUUCAAAAGAGCUUCAAGGCAUCAUUAUAUCUAAUUAUGAAUUGGAAACGGAAGAGAAAGCAAAUUAUUUCAAAAAAGUCUACCCUUGAGGACAACGGUAUUUUCAAGGGGGAAGGAAUGAUACAAACUCUUAAAAUAAUUAAAAGUAUUUAUUUAAUUUUAUGGUAUUAAUUAAUUUUGAACUAGUCAAAAGUAGUUGCACUUAUUUUGUGGAACUACAUGAAAGUAGCGGAGCAUUAUGUGAGAAAAUUACCUAUUAAUAAACCAUAGGUAAUUUUCCAUUUCUAGGUAAUAUAUAUGUUUGUGAAUAGAAUUUUAUUUUAAUUAAAUGAUAAAUAUUAUCUUAAUCACUAACAAAUAAAAUAUUAAACAUGUAAAUAUACAUAUUAAUUUAGAUUUAUGUGUAAUAAAUAUUGAAAUAUUAUUUAAACUUCACCAACACAUAUUAACAGUGAUCUCUUUUUAUUAUUUAUAAUUGGAACAAUACAAUUUUAAUUUCUUAGCGUUAUAUUUAUUAAUCUACUAAAUUUUUGGUGAGAAAGAAAGAAUAUUAUUAAAAAUAAUAUUCAAUUAUGUUAGUAUUAAACAAUAGUUUAAAAAAUAUAUAAUUUUAGAUAUAUUGUAACUUUUUUGUAAUCUUUAAAUAGAUUGGUCUGAUAGCCUGUUAAUUUUAAAUUAUUAAAAUUAAAAUAUUGCACUAACUGGCUUCUAAUUUUAUAAGCCAUUGAUUAAAUCCAACAGUUCAUAUUUAUGCGACUAUUAAUACUUAACAGCAUCAUAGCAUGACCCUUGUAUUGUAAUUCUUUUUCUUUUUUCUGAAAGUAACUGAAUUAUUGUUUGACCCACAAUUUUAGAAAAUGCCUAAUAAGAAUAUUGAAAUUCCUAAAUUCUUAAUGACCAUAUCUUCAAAACACAGAUAGUGGUUUUGGGUCGGAAUAGAGCGGGCAAAAUUUGACACAACUCGAUUACUCGACACGAACACGACAUAAAUAAAUGAGCAUGGGUCGUCAAAUUUAACACGAUUAUUAAAUGGGUCGGGUCUGGGUCGACACAAUUUUUUUCCGUGUUGGGCUAGGGUUAAAAUUCUUGACCCAUUUACCCAAUCAAUGACCCGAUUAUAUUUUUUAUUUUAAAAUAAUUUACAGGUUCUUGUCAUCAAAACUUAAAUAUUAGAGAUGAUUUUCUCUUUUAUUUUUAUUCUUUAAAAAGAUGAAUAUAAACAUAGUGUUUUAUUUAUAAAUUUUAAAUACAUUUAGAGAUUCAAGAGUGUAAAUGCGUAAAAUAUUGGUAGACAUGUAUAUUUUAUAAUAUUGAUAUAUAAUAUUAUUUACUUACAUAUAAUUAAAACCUCAAUAGUGUAAAUGUGUAAUAUUUUGGUAGAUAUGCAUAUUUUAUAAUAUCGAUAAAUAAUGUAUGUAUGUAUGUAUGUAUGUAUGUAUGUAUGUAUGACAGUGUGUAAAUAUUUGAUGUAACUUUUGUUUAAUAUAUAGAUAUUAAGUGGGUUAUUGGGUAACCCAAUUAUUUUUCCGUGUCAGGUUUGGGUCUCAAUAUUUUGACACGAUUAUUAAAUGGGUCGGGUUUGGGUCAAGCUAAAUUUAACACGACCCGAAGCUAACACGACACGAAUACGAUUCGAUGACCCGUUUUGCCAGCUCUAGGUCGGAAGGCUAAAUUCAUAAAUAAAGUUUCCCUUGUUUCCGAAAAUUUCAAAGUUCAGCUCUAGUUACAUAUGGAAAAUGAAUCCGGAGCGCAGUUCCAUCAACAUCAACUAUUGAUUUUUAAGAAAAAAAAAUAAAGUUGAAAAGGCAUGUGAAAAAAUGAAAAUUUCAAUGAAAGUGGAUAAAAUGCGAUGCGACUAUGGGUUACAUAGCAAGAUACAUCAGUGCUGACAAUUUUUUUUUUUUACUAAAUUGAUGGAAAUAUCAUAAAGUUUCAAAGAAAACAAAUAUGUUUUCUCAUUUUAUCAAGAUUAUUCAGAUGGGAAGCAGUUUCAGACUUUCAGUCCACCGUGUGCAUUUUCGUUAAUGGUAUUAUUAUUUUCUUUUUAUUUAUUAUAAUUAGCCGCAAUUUUGCUACUUUCGAAAUGGAUAUUUGACAUAAGUUCGACCUUUUUUUUAUUUCUUUUGUUACAAUUUUGAUGCAUAUUACUGUUUGACUUGUUUCAAAUUACUCGGAUUAAGCAAACAAUCAAGCCACAUUACUAGGUUAUCAAGAAAGCGUAGUCACCAGUUAGGUCUCAAGUCAAAGACGUGACUUAUUUUAGUCAUUUGCUUUUUGUUAAACAGAAUUUAGGGGAAGUUAAUUAAUCGAUAACAAGUUCACCACAUGGGGAUUUCUUCUACAACUGCUCAACUGAAAAAAGGUUUACGACUGUUGACCAAAUGAUUUUUUUAUGCAUUACUAGUCAUUUAAGGAAUUUAGUUUCGCAUAGUACCAUUAAUUGUUAAGAGUUAUUAGCUAACCCACCGGUAACUUCUAUUGAUGGUAUCACCACAAAGUUUGUUUUAUAAUUAAUUAAAUAGGUAUACGAUGAGCUCGACAGCAAUUUGUUUUUUUAUUUUUCAGAAAAGAUUGUUUUACUAAAAAAAUGUAAUAUAGAACAAAAGAAGAUUAGACAAUCGGGGGUGUAAUGAACCCUAAUUAAAGAUAGUUACCAUAGAAUUAGCUAAUUAAUGAAGUGAUAAAGGAGAUAAAACUGAUCGACUAACAGUCAAAAUUAUGUUGAUAUAUGCUACCAUCCUUAUAAAAGAAAUGGUAUUUAGAACCAUAUCAUACCAUUUCUUAUAUAAAGUUUAAAAAAAAUAAAAGUCUAUAAUGAAUUAGAAAUCUCACCCAUGAAACUCAAAUUAUCACCCAGUAUUAUUACUCGUACUCGACUAACCACAGUUGCAAACAUUCAAAGUCAGUGGUGUUGUGCCAAGGGAGCCAAACAAUUCCCCCCACCCGCCACCUUUUUGUACAUUAUAAUCAAAUUAAAGAUCUCACCUUAAUGGUACAUGUGGCAUAUAAAAUUUAGUUUAGAUGAAUUACGAAUCUCAGCCACACAUGUAAAUUGAUAAAUUACAUUACUGUGAAUGUUAGUAUAAUUAUUUUAAUAUUAUUAUAAUGUAAAAUAUAUUUUAUUAU
rnacentral:lncRNA from 1 species